UUUGUGCGGCCUUUCUUGGUUUCUUGGUGCGGUGAUCGAAUUGAUAGACACCCCCAUGAUUGGAGAAAGCUUAAUAGUAGCACGUAAUUGUGUCUAGUUGAUCGAAUCUCCAUGAAGCAUGCAGAUUCCAUCUGUGAUCGAUCGAUAUGAUGGAGCGAAAUUUUGUAGCCCCAAGAUUAAUUGAUUGAUUGAUUCUGUACAGUUUUUGUUGCAUAUGUGACGAGAAUUCGAGGGAUCGUUCCAUUGUCGGUCAAAAGUAUUCUCCGUUUGACUCUGUUUUCUGAGAAAUUUGAUCAAGUACACACUGAUUAAGAUUAACUUUGACGGAGUAUUCGUGGUUCGAGUAGUUGACUGGAAUCUUGACCAAAGGGACCCAGAAAUUUGCCGAAUCAUUUUCUUCUUCUAUUUGAUAUUUGACUUAAGAGUGUCUCUAACCGAUCUCCUAUAAUUCAGAGGAGAAAACGGCCGAAUAUAUUUUAGAGGGCGAGAACUGUUUUUGGAGAUCAAACUCCGUGGAGGCCAUUUCUUAAGAAAAUCAAAAUUCAUACCUUUUACAAGCAAAAAAAUUCUGAAGAAAAUACAGAUAUAUAUGGAGGCAUAAUAUCAAUGUAGGAAAUUUGCACUGUGAAACACGUUUGAAAUGAGGGCUAUGAGAAAAAAAAAAACAAAUCCAUGGCUUUUCUACACAUAAUAUUGUUCACUUCCAAAGUCCAUGAAUUUGUUUUUUUGUACAGGUCACAAUUCAAGGUAUUUCAUCGUGAAUUCUUACACACAUACAUUUCAUCCUUAUAUACAUGCAUAUUUCUUUUCAGAUUUUUUUUAACAGUAAAGUUUGAAUUUUGAUUUUUUUUUCAAAAAAAUUGGCCUCCGUGUGCCCGGUCAUCGCCCAACUCGUUAAAGGGUCGCCGUUUCUAACCUAUCCCAUAUACUUAACUCAUUGAUUUUUUUUGCUCAAUUCUUUUAGCCUUGUUACAUACUCCCUCCGUUCCAAAAUAAAUGUCUUAACCUUACUAUAACUUGUAGUUAUAGUAACCUUACUGUGACGCCCCGAUUCAAUCAUACACUAAUCAUGCACGCAAACAUGUACGAUCAAGAUCAGGGACUCACGGGAAGGUAUCACAACACAACUCUAAAAGUAAAAAAAAGUCAUGCAAGCAUCAUAAUACAAGCCAGAGGGCUCGAAUACAAGUGGCCGAUCAUAGACGAGUCAGCGAAAGCAACAAUAUCUGAGUACAGACAUAAGUUAAACAAGUUGCCAUAAGAUGGCUAGUACAAAUUGGGAUACGGAUCGAAAGAGGCGCAGGCCUCCUGCCUGGGAUCCUCCUAAACUACUCCUGGUCGUCGUCAACGGCCUGCACGUAGUAGUAGGCACCUCCAGUGUAGUAGGAGUCUUCAUCGACGGUGGCGUCUGGAUCCUGGGCUCCAACAUCUUGUUGCGGCAUCCGGGAAGAAGAGGGAAAAGGGUGAAAAGAGGGAACAAAGCAACCGUGAGUACUCAUCCAAAGUACUCGCAAAUACGGAUCUACACUACAUAUGCAAGACCAUUGAAGGUAUUAUUCAAAUAAACAGAGUAACCAUUAUUCUCCUUAAAUAAAUAACCGUAUUGCGAUAAACAUAAUCCAAUCAUACUCAACGCAAACACCAAAUCUCGAAAGUAGAGGGAGCAUGCGAUGCUUGAUCACAUCAACCUUGGAAACACUUCCAACACACAUCGUCAUCUCACCUUUAGCCAGUCUCCAUUUAUUUCGCAGCUUUUAUUUCGAGUUACUAACACUUAGCAACCGAACCGGUAUCUAAUACCCUGGUGCUGCUAGGAGUACUAGUAAAGUACACAUUCAUAUAAUGUAUAUCCAAUAUACUUCUGUCGACCUUGCCUGCCUUCUCAUCUACCAAGUAUCUAGGGUAGUCCUGCUUCAGUGACCGUUCCCCUCAUUACAGAAGCACUUAGUCUCGGCUUUGGGUUCAACCUUGGGAUUCUUCACUAGAGCAGCAAACGACUUGCUGUUUCAUGAAGUAUCCCUUUUGCCCUUGCCCUUCUUAAACUAGUGGUUUUACUAACCAUCAACAAUUGAUGCUCCUUCUUGAUUUCUACUCUCGCGGUGUCAAACAUCGCGAAUAGCUCAAGGAUCAUCAUAACUAUCCCUGAUAUGUUAUAGUUCAUUACGAAGCUCUACUAGCUUGGUGGCAGUGACUAUGGAGAACCAUCACUAUCUCAUCUGGGAGAUUAACUCCCACUCGAUUCAAGCGAUUGUGGUACUCAGACGAUCUGAGCACAUGCUCAACGAUUGAGCUUUUCUCCUUUAGUUUGCAGGUUUAAGAAAUUUGUCAGAGGUCUCAUACCUCUUGACGUGGGCACUAGUCCGAAAUCGCAAUUUCAGUCUUCGGAACAUCUCAUAUGUUCUGCGACGUUUCAAAAAAAAACCGUCUUUGGUGCCACAAUUCUAAACCGUUAGCAUUACGCACUGAACUAUCACGUAGUCAUCAAAACGUGUAUGUCAGAUGUUUCGCAACAUCUACAGACGACGCUGAGGUUCAGCACACCGAGCGGUGCAUUAAGGACAUAAGCCUUCUGUGCAGCAAUGAGGACAAUCCUCAGUUUACGGACCCAGUCCGCAUAAUUGCUACUACCAACUUUCAACUAAAUUUUCUCUAGGAACAUAUCUUAACCAGUAGAACUAAAGCGCAAGAUAUGACAUAAUUUUCAAAGACUUUUGACUAUGUUCAUGAUAAUGAAGUUCAUCUGAUUAUUGAACUCCCACUCAGAUAGACAUCCCUCUAGUCAUCUAAGUGAUACAUGAUCUGAGUCAAACUAGGCCGUGUCCGAUCAUCACGUGAGACGGACUAGUCAUCAUCGGUGAACAUCUCCAUGUUGAUCGUAUCUGCUAUACGACUCAUGUUCGACCUUUCGGUCUCUUGUGUUCCGAGGCCAUGUCUGUACAUGCUAGGCUCGUCAAGUCAACCUAAGUGUUUUGCAUGUGUUCCGAGGCCAUGUCUGUACAUGCUAGGCUCGUCAACACCCGUUGUAUUUGAACGUUAGAAUCUAUCACACCCGAUCAUCACGUGGUGGUUCGAAACAACGAACCUUCGCAACGGCGCACAGUUAGGGGGAACACGUCUCUUGAAAUUUUAGUGAGGGAUCAUCUUACUUACUACCGUCGUUCUAAGCAAAUAAGAUGCAUAACAUGAUAAACAUCACAUGCAAUCAAAAAGUGACAUGAUAUGGCCAAUAUCAUUUUGCUCCUUUGAUCUCCAUCUUCGGGGCACCAUGAUCAUCUUUGUCACCGGCAUGACACCAUGAUCUCCAUCAUUGUGUCUUUAUGAAGUUGUCACGCCAACGAUUACUUCUACUUCUAUGGCUAACGCGCUUAGCAAUAAAGUAAAGUAAUUUACAUGGCGUUAUUCAAUGACACGCAGGUCAUACAAAAAAUAAAGACAACUCCUAUGGGUCCUGCCGGUUGUCAUACUCAACGACAUGCAAGUCGUGAUCCCUAUUACAAGAAUAUGAUCAAUCUCAUACAUCACAUAUAUCAUUCAUCAUAUCUUCUGGCCAUAUCACAUCACAUAGCACAUGCUGCAAAAACAAGUUAGACGUCCUCUAAUUGUUGUUGCAAGUUUUUACGUGGCUUCUAUAGGUUUCUAGCAAGAACGUUUCUUACCUACGUAAAACCACAACGUGAUAUGCCAAUUUCUAUUUACCCUUCAUAAGGACCCUUUUCAUCGAAUCCGUUCCGACUAAAGUGGGAGAGACAGACACCCGCUAGCCACCUUAUGCAACUAGUGCAUGUUAGUCGGUGGAACCUGUCUCACGUAAGCGUACGUGUAAGGUCGGUCCGGGCCGCUUCAUCCCACAAUGCCGCCGAAACAAGAUAAGACUAGUAGCGGCAAGAAGAAUUGGCAACAUCUACGCCCACAACUACUUUGUGUUCUACUCAUGCAUAGAAACUACGCAUAGACCUAGCUCAUGAUGCCACUGUUGGGUAACGUAGCAGAAAUUCAAAAUUUUCUACGCAUCACCAAGAUCAAUCUAUGGAGUAAUCUAGCAACGAGGGGAAGGGGAGUGCAUCUACAUACCCUUGUAGAUCGCGAGCGGAAGCGUUCAAGAGAACGGGGUUGAUGGAGUCGUACUCGUCGUGAUCCAAAUCACCGAUGAUCCUAGCGCCGAACGGACGGCACCUCCGCGUUCAACACACGUGCGGAGCAGCGACGUCUCCUCCUUCUUGAUCCAGCAAGGGGGGAGGAGAGGUUGAUGGAGAUCCAACAGCACGACGGCGUGGUGGUGGAAGUAGCGGGGAUCCCGGUAGGGCUUCGCCAAGCACUAACGGGAGGGAGAGGUGUCACGGGAGGGAGAGGGAGGCGCCAGGGGCUUGGAUUUUUCUGCCCUCCCUCCCCCCUCUAUAUAUAGGGCCAAGGGAGAGGGGGGGCGCAGCCUUGGCCCUUCCUCCAAGGAAGGGUGCGGCCAGGGAGGAGUCCUUCCUCCCCAAGGCACCUCGGAGGUGCCUUCCCCCUCUAGGACUCUCCGUUUAUCUUAUCUGUUGGCGCAUGGGCCUCUUGGGGCUGGUUCCCUUGGCCCAUAUAGGCCAAGGCGCACCCCCCACAGCCCAUGUGCCCCCCCGGGGCUGGUGGACCCCCGGACCCCUUUCGGCACUCCCGGUACAAUAUCGAUAAAGUGCGAAACUUUUCCGGCGACCAAAAUAAGACUUCCCAUAUAUAAAUCUUUACCUCCGGACCAUUCCGAAACUCCUCGUGACGUCCGAGAUCUCAUCCGGGACUCCGAACAACUUUCGGGUUACCGCAUACUAAUAUCUCUAUAACCCUAGCGUCACCGAACCUUAAGUGUGUAGACCCUACGGGUUCGGGAACCAUGCAGACAUGACCGAGAUGUUCUCCGGCCAAUAACCAACAGCGGGAUCUGGAUACCCAUGUUGGCUCCCACAUGUUCCACGAUGAUCUCAUCGGAUGAACCACGAUGUCGAGGAUUCAAUCAAUCCCGUAUACAAUUCCCUUUGUCAAUCGAUAUGUUAGUUGCCCGAGAUUCGAUCGUCGGUAUCCCGAUACCUUGUUCAAUCUCGUUACCGGCAAGUCUCUUUACUCGUUCCAUAACUCACAUCAUCCCGUGAUCAACUCCUUGGUCACAUUGUGCACAUUAUAAUGAUGUCCUACCGAGUGGGCCCAGAGAUACCUCUCCGUUUACACGGAGUGACAAAUCCCAGUCUCGAUUCGUGCCAACCCAACAGACACCUUCGGAGAUACCUGUAGUGCACCGUUAUAGUCACCCAGUUACGUUGUGACGUUUGGUACACCCAAAGCAUUCUUACGGUAUCCGGGAGUUGCACAAUCUCAUGGUCUAAGGAAAUGAUACUUGACAUUAGAAAAGCUCUGAGCAAACGAACUACACGAUCUUGUGCUAUGCUUAGGAUUGGGUCUUGUCCAUCACAUCAUUCUCCUAAUGAUGUGAUCCCGUUAUCAACGACAUCCAAUGUCCAUGGCCAGGAAACAGUAACCAUCUAUUGAUCAACGAGCUAGUCAACUAGAGGCUUACUAGGGACAUGGUGUUGUCUAUGUAUCCACACAUGUAUCUGAGUUUCCUAUCAAUACAAUUCUAGCAUGGAUAAUAAACGAUUAUCAUGAACAAGGAAAUAUAAUAAUAACCAAUUUAUUAUUGCCUCUAGGGCAUAUUUCCAACAGUCUCCCACUUGCACUAGAGUCAAUAAUCUAGUCCACAUCACCAUGUGAUUAACACUCACAGGUCACAUCACCAUGUGACCAACAUCCAAAGAGUUUACUAGAGUCAACAAUCUAGUUCACAUCUCUAUGUGAUUAACACUCAACGAGUUCUGGUUUGAUCAUGUUAUGCUUGUGAGAGAGGUUAUUUAGUCAACGGGUCUGAACCUUUCAGAUCCGUGUGUGCUUUACGAAUAUCUAUGUCAUCUUGUGGAUGCUACCACACGCUACUUGGAGCCAUUUCAAAUAAUUGCUCUACUAUACGAAUCCGGUUUACUACUCAGAGUCAUCCGAAUUAGUGUCAAAGUUCGCAUCGAGGUAACCCUUUACGACGAACUCCUUUUCACCUCCAUAAUCGAGAAAAUUCCUUAGUCCACUAGGUACUAAGGAUAGGUUCGACCGUUGUCAUGUGAUCCUUUCCCGGAUCACUAUUGUACCCCUUGACCAACUCAUGGCAAGGCACACUUCAUGUGCAGUACACAACAUAGCAUACUAUAGAGCCUACGUCUAAAGCAUAGGGGACGACCUUCGUCCUUUCUCUCUCUUCUGCUGUGGUCAGGUCUUGAGUCUUACUCAAUACUCACACCUUGUAACACAGCCAAGAACUCCUUCUUUGCUGAUCUAUUUUGAACUCUUUCAAAAUCAUGUCAAGGUGUGCGUUCUUUGAAAGUAUCAUCGGGCGUCUUGAUCUAUCUCUAUAGAUCUUGAUGCCCAAUAUGUAAGCAGCUUUUAUCCAGGUCUUCCUUUGAAAAACUCCUUUCAAACAAUCCUUUUAUGCUUUCCAGAAAUUUUACAUCAUUUCAGAUCAACAAUAUGUCAUUCACAUAAACUUAUCAGAAAUGUUGCAGCGCUCCCACUCACUUUAUUGUAAAUACAAGUUUCUAAGAAACUUUGUAUAAACCCAAAAACUUUGAUCAAUCCAUCAAAGCGUAUAUUCUGACUCCGAGAUGCUUGCUCUAGUCCAUGGAAGGAUCGCUGGAGCUAGCAUACCUUUUAGCAUCCUUAGGAUCGACAAAACCUUUCUGAUUGUAUCACAUACAACCUUUCCUUACGAAAACUGGUAAGGAAACUUGUUUUGACAUCCAUCUGCCAGAUUUCAUAAAUGCAGCUAAUGCUAACAUGAUUCCGACGGACUUAAGCAUCGCUACGGAUGAGAAAAUCUCAUCGUAGUCAACUCCUUGAACUUGUGGAAAUACUCUUCGCCACAAGUCGAGCUUCAUAGACGGUAACAUUACCGUCCACGUCCAUCUUCUUCUCAAAGAUCCAUUUAUCUCGGAUUUUAUGGCUUCUAACCAUUUGUCGGAACAUGGGCCCACCAUUGCUUCUCCAUAGCUCAUAGGUUCAUCGUUGUCCAACAACAUGACUUCCAAGACAGGAUCACGUACCAUUCUGAAGUAGCACGCAUCCUCGUCGUCCUACGAGGUUUGCUGGUGACUUGAUCCGAAGUUUCAUGAUUACUAUCAUAAGCUUCCACUUCAAUUGGUAUAGGUGCCACAGGAACAACUUCCUGUGCCCUGCUACACACUAGUUGAAGUGACGGUUCAAUAACCUUAUCAAGUCUCCACCAUCCUCCCACUCAAUUCUUUCGAGAGAAACUUUUCCUCGAGAAAGGACCCGUUUCUAGAAGCUAUUACUUUUGCUUCCAGAUCUGAAAUAGGAGGUAUACCCAACUGUUUUGGGUUUUCUAUGAAGAUGCAUUUAUCCGCUUUGGGUUCGAGCUUAUCAGCCUGAAACUUUUUCACAUAAGCAUCGCAGCCCCAAACUUUUAAGAAACGACAACUUAGGUUUCUCUAAACGGUGUCGUCUCAACGGAAUUGUGUGGUGCCCCUUUUAAAGUGAAUGCGGUUGUCUCUAAUGCCUAACCCAUAAACGAUAGUGGUAAUUCGAUAAGAGACAUCAUGGUAUGCACCAUGUCCAAUAGGGUGCAGCUAUGAUGUCCGGACACACCAUCACACUAUGGUGUUCCAGGCGGUAUUAAUUGUGAAACACUUUCCACAAUGUCUUAAUUGUGUGCCAAACUCAUAACUCAGAUACUCAUCUCUAUGAUCAUAUCACAGACAUUUUAUCCUCUUGUCACGACGAUCUUCAACUUCACUCUGAAAUUACUUGAACCUUUCAAUAAUUCAGACUUGUGUUUCAUCAAGUAAAUACACUCAGUAUCUACUCAAAUCAUCUAUGAAGUAAGAACAUAACGAUAUCCACUGCAUGCCUCAACACUCAUUGGACUGCAUACAUCAAAAUGUAUUACUUCCAAUAAGUUGCUAUCUUGUUCCAUCUUAUUGAAAACGAGGACUUUCAGUCAUCUUGCCCAUGUGGUAUGAUUUGCAUGUCUCAAGUGAUUCAAAAUCAAGUGAGUCCAAACGAUCCAUUUGCAUGGAGUUUCUUCAUGCAUAUAUACCAAUAGACAUGGUUCGCAUGUCUCAAUCUUUUCAAAAACGACUGAGUCCAAAGAUCCAUCUACAUGGAGCUUCUUCAUGCGUUCUAUACCAAUAUGACUCAAAUGGCAGUGCCACAAGUAUGUGGAACUAUCAUUACUAUUUUAUAUCUUUUGGCAUGAACAUGUGUAUCACUACGAUCGAGAUUCAUUUUAGGUGCAAGACCAUUGAAGGUAUUAUUCAAAUAAACAGAGUAACCAUUAUUCUCCUUAAAUGAAUAACCGUAUUGCGAUAAACAUAAUCCAAUCAUGCUCAACGCAAACACCAAAUCUCGAUAGUAGAGGGAGCAUGCGAUGCUUGAUCACAUCAACCUUGGAAACACUUCCAACACACAUCGUCAUCUCACCUUUAGCCAGUCUCCAUUUAUUUCGCAGCUUUUAUUUCGAGUUACUAACACUUAGCAACCGAACCGGUAUCUAAUACCCUGGUGCUGCUAGGAGUACUAGUAAAGUACACAUUCAUAUAAUGUAUAUCCAAUAUACUUCUGUCGACCUUGCCUGCCUUCUCAUCUACCAAGUAUCUAGGGUAGUCCUGCUUCAGUGACCGUUCCCCUCAUUACAGAAGCACUUAGUCUCGGCUUUGGGUUCAACCUUGGGAUUCUUCACUAGAGCAGCAAACGACUUGCUGUUUCAUGAAGUAUCCCUUUUGCCCUUGCCCUUCUUAAACUAGUGGUUUUACUAACCAUCAACAAUUGAUGCUCCUUCUUGAUUUCUACUCUCGCGGUGUCAAACAUCGUGAAUAGCUCAAGGAUCAUCAUAACUAUCCCUGAUAUGUUAUAGUUCAUCACGAAGCUCUACUAGCUUGGUGGCAAUGACUAUGGAGAACCAUCACUAUCUCAUCUGGGAGAUUAACUCCCACUCGAUUCAAGCGAUUGUGGUACUCAGACGAUCUGAGCACAUGCUCAACGAUUGAGCUUUUCUCCCUUAGUUUGCAGGUUUAAGAAAUUUGUCAGAGGUCUCAUACCUCUUGACGUGGGCACUAGUCCAAAAUCCCAAUUUCAGUCUUCGGAACAUCUCAUAUGUUCUGCGACGUUUCAAAAAAAACCGUCUUUGGUGCCACAAUUCUAAACCGUUAGCAUUACGCACUGAACUAUCACGUAGUCAUCAAAACGUGUAUGUCAGAUGUUUCCAACAUCUACAGACGACGCUGAGGUUCAGCACACUGAGCGGUGCAUUAAGGACAUAAGCCUUCUGUGCAGCAAUGAGGACAAUCCUCAGUUUACGGACCCAGUCCGCAUAAUUGCUACUACCAACUUUCAACUAAAUUUUCUCUAGGAACAUAUCUUAACCAGUAGAACUAAAGCGCAAGAUAUGACAUAAUUUUCAAAGACUUUUGACUAUGUUCAUGAUAAUGAAGUUCAUCUGAUUAUUGAACUCCCACUCAGAUAGACAUCCCUCUAGUCAUCUAAGUGAUACAUGAUCUGAGUCAAACUAGGCCGUGUCCGAUCAUCACGUGAGACGGACUAGUCAUCAUCGGUGAACAUCUCCAUGUUGAUCGUAUCUGCUAUACGACUCAUGUUCGACCUUUCGGUCUCUUGUGUUCCGAGGCCAUGUCUGUACAUGCUAGGCUCGUCAAGUCAACCUAAGUGUUUUGCAUGUGUUCCGAGGCCAUGUCUGUACAUGCUAGGCUCGUCAACACCCGUUGUAUUUGAACGUUAGAAUCUAUCACACCCGAUCAUCACGUGGUGGUUCGAAACAACGAACCUUCGCAACGGCGCACAGUUAGGGGGAACACGUCUCUUGAAAUUUUAGUGAGGGAUCAUCUUACUUACUACCGUCGUUCUAAGCAAAUAAGAUGCAUAACAUGAUAAACAUCACAUGCAAUCAAAAAGUGACAUGAUAUGGCCAAUAUCAUUUUGCUCCUUUGAUCUCCAUCUUCGGGGCACCAUGAUCAUCUUUGUCACCGGCAUGACACCAUGAUCUCCAUCAUUGUGUCUUUAUGAAGUUGUCACGCCAACGAUUACUUCUACUUCUAUGGCUAACGCGCUUAGCAAUAAAGUAAAGUAAUUUACAUGGCGUUAUUCAAUGACACGCAGGUCAUACAAAAAAUAAAGACAACUCCUAUGGGUCCUGCCGGUUGUCAUACUCAACGACAUGCAAGUCGUGAUCCCUAUUACAAGAAUAUGAUCAAUCUCAUACAUCACAUAUAUCAUUCAUCAUAUCUUCUGGCCAUAUCACAUCACAUAGCACAUGCUGCAAAAACAAGUUAGACGUCCUCUAAUUGUUGUUGCAAGUUUUUACGUGGCUUCUAUAGGUUUCUAGCAAGAACGUUUCUUACCUACGUAAAACCACAACGUGAUAUGCCAAUUUCUAUUUACCCUUCAUAAGGACCCUUUUCAUCGAAUCCGUUCCGACUAAAGUGGGAGAGACAGACACCCGCUAGCCACCUUAUGCAACUAGUGCAUGUUAGUCGGUGGAACCUGUCUCACGUAAGCGUACGUGUAAGGUCGGUCCGGGCCGCUUCAUCCCACAAUGCCGCCGAAACAAGAUAAGACUAGUAGCGGCAAGAAGAAUUGGCAACAUCUACGCCCACAACUACUUUGUGUUCUACUCAUGCAUAGAAACUACGCAUAGACCUAGCUCAUGAUGCCACUGUUGGGUAACGUAGCAGAAAUUCAAAAUUUUCUACGCAUCACCAAGAUCAAUCUAUGGAGUAAUCUAGCAACGAGGGGAAGGGGAGUGCAUCUACAUACCCUUGUAGAUCGCGAGCGGAAGCGUUCAAGAGAACGGGGUUGAUGGAGUCGUACUCGUCGUGAUCCAAAUCACCGAUGAUCCUAGCGCCGAACGGACGGCACCUCCGCGUUCAACACACGUGCGGAGCAGCGACGUCUCCUCCUUCUUGAUCCAGCAAGGGGGGAGGAGAGGUUGAUGGAGAUCCAACAGCACGACGGCGUGGUGGUGGAAGUAGCGGGGAUCCCGGUAGGGCUUCGCCAAGCACUAACGGGAGGGAGAGGUGUCACGGGAGGGAGAGGGAGGCGCCAGGGGCUUGGAUUUUUCUGCCCUCCCUCCCCCCUCUAUAUAUAGGGCCAAGGGAGAGGGGGGGCGCAGCCUUGGCCCUUCCUCCAAGGAAGGGUGCGGCCAGGGAGGAGUCCUUCCUCCCCAAGGCACCUCGGAGGUGCCUUCCCCCUCUAGGACUCUCCGUUUAUCUUAUCUGUUGGCGCAUGGGCCUCUUGGGGCUGGUUCCCUUGGCCCAUAUAAGCCAAGGCGCACCCCCCACAGCCCAUAUGCCCCCCCGGGGCUGGUGGACCCCUUUGUGGACCCCCGGACCCCUUUCGGCACUCCCGGUACAAUAUCGAUAAAGUGCGAAACUUUUCCGGCGACCAAAAUAAGACUUCCCAUAUAUAAAUCUUUACCUCCGGACCAUUCCGAAACUCCUCGUGACGUCCGGGAUCUCAUCCGGGACUCCGAACAACUUUCGGGUUACCGCAUACUAAUAUCUCUAUAACCCUAGCGUCACCGAACCUUAAGUGUGUAGACCCUACGGGUUCGGGAACCAUGCAGACAUGACCGAGAUGUUCUCCGGCCAAUAACCAACAGCGGGAUCUGGAUACCCAUGUUGGCUCCCACAUGUUCCAUGAUGAUCUCAUCGGAUGAACCACGAUGUCGAGGAUUCAAUCAAUCCCGUAUACAAUUCCCUUUGUCAAUCGAUAUGUUAGUUGCCCGAGAUUCGAUCGUCGGUAUCCCGAUACCUUGUUCAAUCUCGUUACCGGCAAGUCUCUUUACUCGUUCCAUAACUCACAUCAUCCCGUGAUCAACUCCUUGGUCACAUUGUGCACAUUAUAAUGAUGUCCUACCGAGUGGGCCCAGAGAUACCUCUCCGUUUACACGGAGUGACAAAUCCCAGUCUCGAUUCGUGCCAACCCAACAGACACCUUCGGAGAUACCUGUAGUGCACCUUUAUAGUCACCCAGUUACGUUGUGACGUUUGGUAUACCCAAAGCAUUCUUACGGUAUCCGGGAGUUGCACAAUCUCAUGGUCUAAGGAAAUGAUACUUGACAUUAGAAAAGCUCUGAGCAAACGAACUACACGAUCUUGUGCUAUGCUUAGGAUUGGGUCUUGUCCAUCACAUCAUUCUCCUAAUGAUGUGAUCCCGUUAUCAACGACAUCCAAUGUCCAUGGUCAGGAAACCGUAACCAUCUAUUGAUCAACGAGCUAGUCAACUAGAGGCUUACUAGGGACAUGGUGUUGUCUAUGUAUCCACACAUGUAUCUGAGUUUCCUAUCAAUACAAUUCUAGCAUGGAUAAUAAACGAUUAUCAUGAACAAGGAAAUAUAAUAAUAACCAAUUUAUUAUUGCCUCUAGGGCAUAUUUCCAACAGUCUCCCACUUGCACUAGAGUCAAUAAUCUAGUCCACAUCACCAUGUGAUUAACACUCACAGGUCACAUCACCAUGUGACCAACAUCCAGAGUUUACUAGAGUCAACAAUCUAGUUCACAUCUCUAUGUGAUUAACACUCAAUGAGUUCUGGUUUGAUCAUGUUAUGCUUGUGAGAGAGGUUAUUUAGUCAACGGGUCUGGACCUUUCAGAUCCGUGUGUGCUUUACGAAUAUCUAUGUCAUCUUGUGGAUGCUACCACACGCUACUUGGAGCCAUUUCAAAUAAUUGCUCUACUAUACGAAUCCGGUUUACUACUCAGAGUCAUCCGGAUUAGUGUCAAAGUUCGCAUCGACGUAACCCUUUACGACGAACUCCUUUUCACCUCCAUAAUCGAGAAAAUUCCUUAGUCCACUAGGUACUAAGGAUAGGUUCGACCGCGGUCAUGUGAUCCUUUCCUGGAUCACUAUUGUACCCCUUGACCAACUCAUGGCAAGGCACACUUCAUGUGCGGUACACAACAUAGCAUACUAUAGAGCCUACGUCUAAAGCAUAGGGGACGACCUUCGUCCUUUCUCUCUCUUCUGAUGUGGUCAGGUCUUGAGUCUUACUCAAUACUCACACCUUGUAACACAGCCAAGAACUCCUUCUUUGCUAAUCUAUUUUGAACUCUUUCAAAAUCAUGUCAAGGUGUGCGUUCUUUGAAAGUAUCAUCGGGCGUCUUGAUCUAUCUCUAUAGAUCUUGAUGCCCAAUAUGUAAGCAGCUUUUAUCCAGGUCUUCCUUUGAAAAACUCCUUUCAAACAACCCUUUUAUGCUUUCCAGAAAUUUUACAUCAUUUCGGAUCAACAAUAUGUCAUUCACAUAAACUUAUCAGAAAUGUUGCAGCGCUCCCACUCACUUUAUUGUAAAUACAAGUUUCUAACAAACUUUGUAUAAACCCAAAAACUUUGAUCACUCCAUCAAAGCAUAUAUUCUGACUCCGAGAUGCUUGCUCUAGUCCAUGGAAGGAUCGCUGGAGCUAGCAUACCUUUUAGCAUCCUUAGGAUCGACAAAACCUUUCUGAUUGUAUCACAUACAACCUUUCCUUACGAAAACUGGUAAGGAAACUUGUUUUGACAUCCAUCUGCCAGAUUUCAUAAAUGCAGCUAAUGCUAACAUGAUUCCGACGGACUUAAGCAUCGCUACGGAUGAGAAAAUCUCAUCGUAGUCAACUCCUUGAACUUGUGGAAAUACUCUUCGCCACAAGUCGAGCUUCAUAGACGGUAACAUUACCGUCCACGUCCAUCUUAUUCUCAAAGAUCCAUUUAUCUCGGAUUUUAUGGCUUCUAACCAUUUGUCGGAACAUGGGCCCACCAUCGCUUCUCCAUAGCUCAUAGGUUCAUCGUUGUCCAACAACAUGACUUCCAAGAUAGGAUCACGUACCAUUCUGAAGUAGCACGCAUCCUCGUCGUCCUACGAGGUUUGCUGGUGACUUGAUCCAAAGUUUCAUGAUUACUAUCAUAAGCUUCCACUUCAAUUGGUAUAGGUGCCACAGGAACAACUUCCUGUGCCCUGCUACACACUAGUUGAAGUGACGGUUCAAUAACCUUAUCAAGUCUCCACCAUCCUCCCACUCAAUUCUUUCGAGAGAAACUUUUCCUCGAGAAAGGACCCGUUUCUAGAAGCAAUUACUUUUGCUUCCAGAUCUGAAAUAGGAGGUAUACCCAACUGUUUUGGGUUUUCUAUGAAGAUGCAUUUAUCCGCUUUGGGUUCGAGCUUAUCAGCCUGAAACUUUUUCACAUAAGCAUCGCAGCCCCAAACUUUUAAGAAACGACAACUUAGGUUUCUCUAAAUGGUGUCGUCUCAACGGAAUUGUGUGGUGCCCCUUUUAAAGUGAAUGCGGUUGUCACUAAUGCCUAACCCAUAAACGAUAGUGGUAAUUCGAUAAGAGACAUCAUGGUAUGCACCAUGUCCAAUAGGGUGCAGCUAUGAUGUCCGGACACACCAUCACACUAUGGUGUUCCAGGCGGUAUUAAUUGUGAAACACUUUCCACAAUGUCUUAAUUGUGUGCCAAACUCGUAACUCAGAUACUCAUCUCUAUGAUCAUAUCACAGACAUUUUAUCCUCUUGUCACGACGAUCUUCAACUUCACUAUGAAAUUACUUGAACCUUUCAAUAAUUCAGACUUGUGUUUCAUCAAGUAAAUACACUCAGCAUCUACUCAAAUCAUCUGUGAAGUAAGAACAUAACGAUAUCCACUGCAUGCCUCAACACUCAUUGGACUGCAUACAUCAAAAUGUAUUACUUCCAAUAAGUUGCUCUCUUGUUCCAUCUUAUUGAAAACGAGGACUUUCAGUCAUCUUGCCCAUGUGGUAUGAUUUGCAUGUCUCAAGUGAUUCAAAAUCAAGUGAGUCCAAACGAUCCAUUUGCAUGGAGUUUCUUCAUGCAUAUAUACCAAUAGACAUGGUUCGCAUGUCUCAAUCUUUUCAAAAACGACUGAGUCCAAAGAUCCAUCUACAUGGAGCUUCUUCAUGCGUUCUAUACCAAUAUGACUCAAAUGGCAGUGCCACAAGUAUGUGGAACUAUCAUUACUAUUUUAUAUCUUUUGGCAUGAACAUGUGUAUCACUACGAUCGAGAUUCAUUUUAGGUGCAAGACCAUUGAAGGUAUUAUUCAAAUAAACAGAGUAACCAUUAUUCUUCUUAAAUGAAUAACCGUAUUGCGAUAAACAUAAUCCAAUCAUGCUCAACGCAAACACCAAAUCUCGAUAGUAGAGGGAGCAUGCGAUGCUUGAUCACAUCAACCUUGGAAACACUUCCAACACACAUCGUCAUCUCACCUUUAGCCAGUCUCCAUUUAUUUCGCAGCUUUUAUUUCGAGUUACUAACACUUAGCAACCGAACCGGUAUCUAAUACCCUGGUGCUGCUAGGAGUACUAGUAAAGUACACAUUAAUAUAAUGUAUAUCCAAUAUACUUCUGUCGACCUUGCCUGCCUUCUCAUCUACCAAGUAUCUAGGGUAGUCCUGCUUCAGUGACCGUUCCCCUCAUUACAGAAGCACUUAGUCUCGGGUUUGGGUUCAACCUUGGGAUUCUUCACUAGAGCAGCAAACGACUUGCUGUUUCAUGAAGUAUCCCUUUUUCCCUUGCCCUUCUUAAACUAGUGGUUUUACUAACCAUCAACAAUUGAUGCUCCUUCUUGAUUUCUACUCUCGCGGUGUCAAACAUCGCGAAUAGCUCAAGGAUCAUCAUAACUAUCCCUGAUAUGUUAUAGUUCAUCACGAAGCUCUACUAGCUUGGUGGCAGUGACUAUGGAGAACCAUCACUAUCUCAUCUGGGAGAUUAACUCCCACUCGAUUCAAGCGAUUGUGGUACACAGACGAUCUGAGCACAUGCUCAACGAUUGAGCUUUUCUCCCUUAGUUUGCAGGUUUAAGAAAUUUGUCAGAGGUCUCAUACCUCUUGACGUGGGCACUAGUCCAAAAUCCCAAUUUCAGUCUUCGGAACAUCUCAUAUGUUCUGCGACGUUUCAAAAAAAACCGUCAUUGGUGCCACAAUUCUAAACCGUUAGCAUUACGCACUGAACUAUCACGUAGUCAUCAAAACGUGUAUGUUAGAUGUUUCGCAACAUCUACAGACGACGCUGAGGUUCAGCACACCGAGCGGUGCAUUAAGGACAUAAGCCUUCUGUGCAGCAAUGAGGACAAUCCUCAGUUUACGCACCCAGUCCGCAUAAUUGCUACUACCAACUUUCAACUAAAUUUUCUCUAGGAACAUAUCUUAACCAGUAGAACUAAAGCGCAAGAUAUGACAUAAUUUUCAAAGACUUUUGACUAUGUUCAUGAUAAUGAAGUUCAUCUGAUUAUUGAACUCCCACUCAGAUAGACAUCCCUCUAGUCAUCUAAGUGAUACAUGAUCUGAGUCAAACUAGGCCGUGUCCGAUCAUCACGUGAGAUGGACUAGUCAUCAUCGGUGAACAUCUCCAUGUUGAUCGUAUCUGCUAUACGACUCAUGUUCGACCUUUCGGUCUCUUGUGUUCCGAGGCCAUGUCUGUACAUGCUAGGCUCGUCAAGUCAACCUAAGUGUUUUGCAUGUGUUCCGAGGCCACGUCUGUACACGCUAGGCUCGUCAACACCCGUUGUAUUUGAACGUUAGAAUCUAUCACACCCGAUCAUCACGUGGUGCUUCGAAACAACGAACCUUCGCAACGGUGCACAGUUAGGGGGAACACGUCUCUUGAAAUUUUAGUGAGGGAUCAUCUUACUUACUACCGUCGUUCUAAGCAAAUAAGAUGCAUAACAUGAUAAACAUCACAUGCAAUCAAAAAGUGACAUGAUAUGGCCAAUAUCAUUUUGCUCCUUUGAUCUCCAUCUUUGGGGCACCAUGAUCAUCUUUGUCACCGGCAUGACACCAUGAUCUCCAUCAUUGUGUCUUUAUGAAGUUGUCACGCCAACGAUUACUUCUACUUCUAUGGCUAACGCGCUUAGCAAUAAAGUAAAGUAAUUUACAUGGCGUUAUUCCAUGACACGCAGGUCAUACAAAAAAUAAAGACAACUCCUAUGGCUCCUGCCGGUUGUCAUACUCAACGACAUGCAAGUCGUGAUCCCUAUUACAAGAAUAUGAUCAAUCUCAUACAUCACAUAUAUCAUUCAUCAUAUCUUCUGGCCAUAUCACAUCACAUAGCACAUGCUGCAAAAACAAGUUAGACGUCCUCUAAUUGUUGUUGCAAGUUUUUACGUGGCUUCUAUAGGUUUCUAGCAAGAACGUUUCUUACCUACGUAAAACCACAACGUGGUAUGCCAAUUUCUAUUUACCCUUCAUAAGGACCCUUUUCAUCGAAUCCGUUCCGACUAAAGUGGGAGAGACAGACACCCGCUAGCCACCUUAUGCAACUAGUGCAUGUUAGUCGGUGGAACCUGUCUCACGUAAGCGUACGUGUAAGGUCGGUCCGGGCCGCUUCAUCCCACAAUGCCGCCGAAACAAGAUAAGACUAGUAGCGGCAAGAAGAAUUGGCAACAUCUACACCCACAACUACUUUGUGUUCUACUCAUGCAUAGAAACUACGCAUAGACCUAGCUCAUGAUGCCACUGUUGGGUAACGUAGCAGAAAUUCAAAAUUUUCUACGCAUCACCAAGAUCAAUCUAUGGAGUAAUCUAGCAACGAGGGGAAGGGGAGUGCAUCUACAUACCCUUGUAGAUCGCGAGCGGAAGGGUUCAAGAGAACGGGGUUGAUGGAGUCGUACUCGUCGUGAUCCAAAUCCCGAUGAUCCUAGCGCCGAACGGACGGCACCUCCGCGUUCAACACACGUGCGGAGCAGCGACGUCUCCUCCUUCUUGAUCCAGCAAGGGGGGAGGAGAGGUUGAUGGAGAUCCAACAGCACGGCGCCGUGGUGGUGGAAGUAGCGGGGAUCCCGGUAGGGCUUCGCCAAGCACUAACGGGAGGGAGAGGUGUCACGGGAGGGAUAGGGAGGCGCCAGGGGCUUGGAUUUUUCUGCCCUCCCUCCCCGCCACUAUAUAUAGGGCCAAGGGAGAUGGGGGGCGCAGCCUUGGCCCUUCCUCCAAGGAAGGGUGCGGCCAGGGAGGAGUCCUUCCUCCCCAAGGCACCUCGGAGGUGCCUUCCCCCUCUAGGACUCUCCGUUUAUCUUAUCUGUUGGCGCAUGGGCCUCUUGGGGCUGGUUCCCUUGGCCCAUAUAGGCCAAGGCGCACCCCCCACAGCCCAUGUGGCCCCCCCGGGGCUGGUGGACCCCUUGGUGGACCCCCGGACCCCUUUCGGCACUCCCGGUACAAUAUCGAUAAAGUGCGAAACUUUUCCGGCGACCAAAAUCAGACUUCCCAUAUAUAAAUCUUUACCUCCGGACCAUUCCGGAACUCCUCGUGACGUCCGGGAUCUCAUCCGGGACUCCGAACAACUUUCGGGUUACCGCAUACUAAUAUCUCUAUAACCCUAGCGUCACCGAACCUUAAGUGUGUAGACCCUACGGGUUCGGGAACCAUGCAGACAUGACCGAGAUGUUCUCCGGCCAAUAACCAAUAGCGGGAUCUGGAUACCCAUGUUGGCUCCCACAUGUUCCACGAUGAUCUCAUCGGAUGAACCACGAUGUCGAGGAUUCAAUCAAUCCCGUAUACAAUUCCCUUUGUCAAUCGAUAUGUUAGUUGCCCGAGAUUCGAUCGUCGGUAUCCCGAUACCUUGUUCAAUCUCGUUACCGGCAAGUCUCUUUACUCAUUCCGUAACUCACAUCAUCCCGUGAUCAACUCCUUGGUCACAUUGUGCACAUUAUGAUGAUGUCCUACCGAGUGGGCCCAGAGAUACCUCUCCGUUUACACGGAGUGACAAAUCCCAGUCUCGAUUCGUGCCAACCCAACAGACACCUUCGGAGAUACCUGUAGUGCUCCUUUAUAGUCACCCAGUUACGUUGUGACAUUUGGUACACCCAAAGCAUUCUUACGGUAUCCGGGAGUUGCACAAUCUCAUGGUCUAAGGAAAUGAUACUUGACAUUAGAAAAGCUCUGAGCAAAUGAACUACACGAUCUUGUGCUAUGCUUAGGAUUGGGUCUUGUCCAUCACAUCAUUCUCCUAAUGAUGUGAUCCCGUUAUCAAUGACAUCCAAUGUCCAUGGUCAGGAAACCGUAACCAUCUAUUGAUCAACGAGCUAGUCAACUAGAGGCUUACUAGGGACAUGGUGUUGUCUAUGUAUCCACACAUGUAUCUGAGUUUCCUAUCAAUACAAUUCUAGCAUGGAUAAUAAACGAUUAUCAUGAACAAGGAAAUAUAAUAAUAACCAAUUUAUUAUUGCCUGUAGGGCAUAUUCCCAACACUGGGCCCAUCACCCAUUGCACACCUGCACGUUGCGUGGGCGGCCGGAAGCAGGCCUAGCCCCCUUAAUACAAGAGCAGGCUUACGGUCCAAUCUGGCGCGUGCCGCUCAGUCGCUGACGUCACGAAGGCUUCGGCUGAUACCAUGACGUCGAGUGCCCAUAACUUUUCCCGCGUAGUUAGUUAGUGCGUAUAGCCAGUGGCCAGACUCAGAUCAAAUACCAAGAUCUCGUUAAGCGUGUUAUUAUGAAGUAAUCGCGAACGCCGACCAGGGCCAGGCCCACCUCUCACCUAGGUGGUAUCAACCUGCCCAGUCGCUUCGCCACAAAGAUCCACACAGAGGGCCGUCGGGGCAAAUGUCCUUUCAGCCCGCGAUCCGUGAAUCACUCGCGGGUACUCUCCGAGCCAACCCGACUUUAGUCACCAUCUGUAUAGUAUGUAUAAAUGUAUAGUAUAUACCCGUGAUCACCUCCCGAGUGAUCACGGCCCGAUAGUAUAGCAAGGCAGACUGACAAGAAUGUAGGGCCACUGAUAACAAACUAGCAUCCUAUACUAACCAUUUAGGAUUGCGGGUAAGGUAUCAACGACUGUAGCAACAAUGACAGGCUAUGCAACAGAAUAGGAGUAACCGAACAGUAACAUGCUACCCUACUCUAAUGCAAACAGUAGAGAGAAGAAUAGGUGAUAUCUGGUGAUCAAGGGGGGGCUUCCCUGGUUCCUCUGGCAAGAAGGAGGGCGCGUCAACUUCGUAGUCGAACUGGGCAACAACAGCGUCGGUCUCGUAGUCUACCGGAGAGAAGAGGGGGAAGAAACAGUAAAUACAAUGCAAACAUAAGCAUGACUAUGCAUGACACGACAAUGAGCGGUGUUAGGUGUGCCAUAAUGCGGUAGUAGGUGAUACCGGCGAAAGGGGAAAACAUCCGGGAAAGUAUCCCCGGUGUUUCGCGUUUCCGGACAGUUGAACCGGAGGUGAAAUGUUGCAGGUUUGCUAUGCUAGGGGCGUGUGGCUGACGAGCGGGCUGCGUAUUGGGAUUCGUCUCGUCGUCCUGAGCAACUUUCAUGUACAAAGUAUUAUCAUCUGAGGUACGGUUUAUUUUAUAUUAAUUUUCAAAGUUUUAAAUCAUUUUUAGAAUUAACAAAAUUAAUUUAAUUCGAAAAUCGUUUUAUGACGUCAUCGGUCAACUGUGGACUUUGACUAGUCAACAGACCACUGGGUCCCACAUGUCAUUCACAGCUAACUAACUAACCAAGUUAAUUAGUUUAAUUAACAGACUAAUUAGGUUAAGUUAAUUUAGUUAAUUAAGUUAAUUAAUUAAUUGUUUAUUUAUUAUAUUAUAUUAUUUUUUGUUUCCUCUUUUUUUUAUUGAUCUGGGUAGUGGGUCCCGUUUGGCAGUGGCCUAGAGGGCCAAACGGGGGCGGGUUAGUGGGCGCGCUGGCGCUGGGCGGAGCCGGGCGUCGAGCACUAGCCCGCCCGACAAGGCACAGCGGCCAGGAGGUGAAGGGCGCCGGCGCGUGGCUCGGCGCCGCGGGGCAACGCGGCAUGGCCAGACGAGGCCGGCCGGAGCGCAGGGGGGUCGGUGGAGUGGGCGCGGGGCACAGCGGUCGCACGGUCUCGCGGGCGCGGCCUCCGGCAGUAGCGGCAAGGGAGGAGAAACAGGGGGAGGCCAGGACGGGCGCAAGGCGUUGGGGGCGCUCGACGCGGCCAGUGGGGACAAGGGCCACGGCGAGGCCGUCGGCAGGGACUAGCGGGGAGGAAGAGGCAGCAGGAGGCGGGAGCGGAGAGCGGCGGCGGGCGUGCACGGGGCGCAUGCGUGCGGUGGCCGCGGCGACGAGCGCAGGGCGCGCGAGCGCGGGACAGACGAGAGGGAAGGAGCGAGGCGGAGGCUCACUGGGCGGUAGGGGUUCGGGCAGCGGGGGUCGAGGAGGACGUCGGGGACAACGGUGACGAAGAGGAGGCAGGCCGUUGAGGAGGAGGAGUCAGUCCGGCGGGGGAAGCUCCGGCGACGAGGUGGCCGCGGCGGCGGCCGGCGGGGUUCGUCGACGGGUCGNNNNNNNNNNNNNNNNNNNNNNNNNNNNNNNNNNNNNNNNNNNNNNNNNNNNNNNNNNNNNNNNNNNNNNNNNNNNNNNNNNNNNNNNNNNNNNNNNNNNNNNNNNNNNNNNNNNNNNNNNNNNNNNNNNNNNNNNNNNNNNNNNNNNNNNNNNNNNNNNNNNNNNNNNNNNNNNNNNNNNNNNNNNNNNNNNNNNNNNNNNNNNNNNNNNNNNNNNNNNNNNNNNNNNNNNNNNNNNNNNNNNNNNNNNNNGAGGUGGGCCGGCCCGUUCGGGCGGCUGAGGCUAGCUGGGCCACUUGGCCUAGCGGGGGGGGGGUCCUAUUUUCUUUUCCUUCUUUUUUUUGUUUGCUCGUUUUCCUUUUCUUUCUUUUUUUCAAUUUCUUUUCUGUUUAUUUUUACCUUUGUUUUAUAAAUUAUAAAUCUAGCCCCAAAAUUAGUACUAAUACUUAUGACACUGCCAUAAUUGAUUUGGCAACCUAAACAAUUAGUUUAUAUUUGUUUAGUAUUUAAAAGACAUUUAAAUAUUAGUUUUACUGCAGUUUUUUAUAUCAAUUUAGCGCUUUUAACUACUUUAUAAAAAGUUGUUUUCUCCACCAUAAUUACCUAUGCAUUAUUUGUCACCUCUCGAACAUUUUAGUUUUAAAGUUUGAAAACUUUUGAUGUUUGCCUUGAUUUUAAAUUUGAAGUUUGAACUAGGUUUCUAACCGACGCGAGUUUAUCAACAGUAACUGAGGUGAUGUGGCAUCAUUAGCAGAGGUUCGCUGUAGCUUAAUUAUCCGGGCGUCACAAUUCUCCUCCACUACAAGAAAUCUCGUCCCAAGAUUUAAGCGGUGGAGUAAGGGGGGAAGGUGCCGGUAGCGAAAAACCUAAGGAAUCUUCUCGGUCUUGGUUGCCCUUUCGAAGAGGUUGAUCCCUUUCGUUGAUGUCUUCAUUUCUCUGCUUCAAGUCACCAUGAUCAAGUCGUCAUCCUUUCUUCGGGAUCUCCAUCGUCCUACGAACGCGACCAAGGGGAAAAACUUCGGAAGAACGCAUCUCCACAAAGCUGGGCAUCUGACGAUGAACUCAAUGGGAAAUACACAAGGUAUCCCACGACUUGUAUUUCAGUGAAUUCGUUGAGUGCAAUAUACGAUGGUACCAAAGCUUCAAACGGGUAGGCAAUCAUUCGAUGACUAGACAGAAGCUGGAAUGGGGGUUUGAACAACGAGAAUAACAUGGUGUUUGAUUCCAGGAUGAAUAAUGGUAUAGCAUUUAGCUCGUGAAUCACAUACGAAGCCAGGUGCAAAGGAUACAUUAGAAUCCGGGUUGUAAAGAAGAGUCAGGUUUCGAUCCUGGGACCUGUGGGUUAUGGGCCCACCAUGUGGGUUGAAAGUAGGAAGGGUGGUGACAUCUUGCACAGCCGCGACAGGGAGGCAUGUCAGUGAAUAGCUUGUCAGCUAUGCCGACAACAAAGUCGGUACCAAGGACGGGGAACGAAGAGAGCAAUUUUCCUGCUUGUUGAACGAGACGAACCAAUUGGCAAAGUUAUCACCCAUUGGUGGUUACCGGAAUAUCAUCAACAAUACUAACAGGGUCUUACAGAUAGAGUGGUACAACAAGGUGCCUACCUAAGCAGGGAAUUAUCUCUGCUCAGUUAAGUUAGAUUCAGGAAAGGUUAAACAAAAGAAUGGAAAGGAAAAUGCGAUUAUCAGAUUAAACAGAAAAUGGAAAGGAAAAUUGUGUUUACACACUAUUAUUAGGAGUAUAUCCUUCCCAUGUACAAGCAGAACAUGGCAUACAGGGUAGGAGAGCAAGUACCCAACCAUUCAGGUAAGAGGCAAGGAUUAAUCAAGAUGUUACCCAUACAACGGUAUUUGGAUAACUGACCAAGAAACAUUUAGCAUCGCGCCUCCAAUGUUCUUGUUGAUGAGCGGGGUAUCCUAGUCAUGCUUCGAGGUAGCAAUGAUAUGGUGUUUCAAUCAAGGGCCAGACUUUGGAUACACAAAUGAUCCAUCAGGAGUAACUUAUAAAAUAAGUCUUACAAUUUCCUCCAGGAAGAAUGGUUAUCCUUGCAAAAGAAAUUAUAAUGAUAGGUCCUCCAGCCAGGGGGUGCUAGGCAUGACAUCAUAUUACCAGGUCAUCAAAGGACCAACAUCAUAACUCCUGGAAAGUUGUCCCAACCAUCAUAUCUGACCGAGAUUCAAAUCCGAUUGGUGUCAUGAUACCUCAGACUCAGGAUGUCCGAGAAGAAAAGGUGCAACACAAAUCGACGAAAUGACAUUGCAAGAUUCUCGGGAAAUGAACUAUGGGAGCGGGUUCCUGAAACAAUAGUUCAUCAUUAAACCAAGGAGGGGAUGAGGAGGUGGCUGAUGGGCUCAGCGACAAUUCAUCAAGAAUUCCAAACGGAUGGAUUCCCACAAUAAUGUGAACAAGAAGAUGACACUUGUCAAUUCAAAUGAUAUAAUGUUGUAUGCUCGAGGAAAACAUACACCAUCAAUCAUUAGUUGAAAGGUGUGCCCGAAAUAUGGCCUUAGGCAGCAAGAUCAAUGUUAGAGUGAUGAUUCAAUAACCAACAGUCUAAAAACAAACUGUCGAUCGUUAACUUCUAAGCAAUAGGGUUGCUAGAAGUACAGAACUCAAACAGCAUCGUUAGCAUAUUGGUAUCCUGGUUAAAAACAACACGGGGACCAAGGAAGAAUGGUGAUGGUGAGAAGUAUCAUCAUACCGAGAAUUUCUAAGAGGUGGAGCAAUCCCCACAACAUUCUCGACAGAAAAGACAGUAAUACUUCAAGGCAGAACACAACACUAGCUGGAGAGCAAGUUGUAUUCAUAAUGUGGACAAGUUCACGAUGAAAGGAAGUCGACGGUGUCGUCGAUAAUAAUAAAAAUCAUCCAGGGCAAGGAGGGUAUUUCUCAUCAUGAACACAGUUAACAUCUCGGAAGAAGUCAAAGUGUUGAAGGUGAUCCGACACAUUUGCCGGGAGGUUUCGAGAGGAUGCAAUCAAACAACAACGGAAACAAGCAAGGGAAUGACGAAGUGACAAGUUAUAGGAUCAAUAUAUAAGAUGCAAGCUCGGAACCAAAGUUGCCUUUCAAGACAAGCAACAUGAUGUUGAAAGCUCGACGUAAGUCGUGCUCACACACUGAAGAAUUCGUGCACCAGAGAAGGACGAGGUAGCACAGUCAAAGAUAGCAAGACCAAGAUGCAGCCGAUAGUCUAGGAAUGACCAGAUUGAGUUUAGAAUUUCCUAGUAAAAAUACUAGGGGUAUUUGAUUUGUAGUGCGGAAUAAUUUCACUAGUCGGUGUCCUCGGUUGACAACAACCUAGAACCCAUAGAGUGAUUACGACAAGGAAAGACAUUACUUCAACAAAGUUAGUAAGAUGUGGUGCAAUGGCAAGACAUCUUCGAGAUACCAGGGGGUAAUACUCGAAGGUAGAACAUGAUAGAAGUAGAACCGGGUCAUUGACCUAUGACAGUAGAUACUUCAACCUUGCCAAAAAUAGACGAGGCACUGGAUUCAAUUCCCAUCAGAUAUAUCAGAUCAGACAGCAUGGUCGGAACCAUAACUGUAAGGAAUCAAUUUCAAGAAUACCGAAAGAAUCAUAAAGCUGGGUAAUCAUUUGCAAGAAGCUUCCGAGACGGUCUACAUCAUUUUCAUGGGCAUGAACACAAAGUUCAAGGUCGACUCCCACUUCUUUAAUGCAUAUCAUUUCAUUCACCUCUCGCUUUGAUAAAACUGUAGUGUUGGAAUUUUAUCAGGUAGAACACCGGAAGAGUAUGACUUGUGAAAACUUACGGGUUCUAACGGAUUAGGGGAAGGCGUAGAUUCAACCCAUCGGGCAUCUUAGUAACAUAUACCACAAGUUUCAAAAGUAAAUAUACAAGCUCGAAAGCAAAGCAUGGUUGGCCAAGCAGAGUAUACAAUUUACCAAAGGCACUAUGUAUCAGGGGAAGAACUCACAAGGUGAUUGAAUAUGAAUGACAAUGUCGGAUAACAAUCCAACAAUGGAUCGGGCGAUCCGCAAUGGAGCUAAUGUGAGUAUCGGUACUCACUCAAAGGAAGAAAGAAUGCAGAGGCAUCAGAUUCAAGAAUCACCUGAUUAGUCUGAUGCUUAAAUAGAAAGAAUUUAUGGUUUCCAAAACGAAGAAUCAGAAGCAGACGCUCUGAUCAAGGAUGGAUAAGUUAAAAACACUUAGUUGGACAAUCAAUAAAGGUUUGAAUUGCCGAGAACCAACUCAUGUCCGGAAUGACGUCUGAGUCGGAAAGAUAAUUUUAAAAAGGAUAACCUGAUGACUGCGUGUGUACGCACAUAUUGAAUCAAUAGGCUCAAAAUGACUAAGACGAGGGAUGUUAUCGAGGACUACUAGUCAUAUGGAAUUAACCAUAAUGCAAGCAGGCAAGAAUUUCAAGAAUAACAGGUUGGAGAGGAUUUUCGAAAGAUCGAAAAGUAUUUCGAAGGAUUUUGUGAGACACAUGAACAAUUGAGAAGAUCUCCUCGAGAAAUGUGAGAAAAAAAACCGUAAGGAUUUUUGAUGCGAAAUAAAACUGCAAGACAGUAAACUCAAAGGAUUCUCGGGACAACGGAGAAUAAUUCGAGGCUUCUUGUAACAUCAAGAGCGAUGACAAAUGAUCAUGAGAAUGACAAGUGCAAGCAGAUAUCCAUAGGGAUAUUUCAGUGGCAGUGAAUUGCAAAGGCGAUGAGCACAAGGGUCUCGGGAAAAUAUCGAGGGAUAUCCUCAGAAUCUUCGGACGAAGCAGGUGAUCUUCCGGAGUAAGGGCUCUCCGGGAGAAAUAGUUACGAGAACCUAGAGUUAGAGUUAGCAAAAUCAUUUAACCCGGAUAGAGGGGAGAUCAGAGUCCCAGAGCAAAGGUCGAGGAGUAAAAGACCCUAAAACCACCCAAUGGCGACGUGGGCCCGUAAGGCACACAACCAAGUUAGUAAAAGUUUUGUAAUGACUAGACUCGACUUCAGCCAAGGAGUGUGGAAGGGGGAUUCCUACAGGCAGUCGGCUCUGAUACCAACUUGUGACGCCCCCGAUUCAAUCGUACACUAAUCAUGCACGCAAACGUGUACGAUCAAGAUCACGGACUCACGGGAAGAUAUCAGAACACAACUCUAAAAGUAAAAAAAGUCAUGCAAGCAUCAUAAUACAAGCCAGGGGCCUCGAGGGCUCGAAUACAAGUGCUCGAUCAUAGACGAGUCAGCGAAAGCAACAAUAUCUGAGUACAGACAUAAGUUAAACAAGUUGCCAUAAGAUGGCUAGCACAAACUGGGAUACAGAUCGAAAGAGGCGCAGGCCUCCUGCCUGGGAUCCUCCUAAACUACUCCUGGUCGUCAUCAACGGCCUGCACAUAGUAGUAGGCACCCCCAGUGUAGUAGGAGUCGUCAUCGGCGGUGGCAUCUGGAUCCUGGGCUCCAACGUCUGGUUGCGGCAUCCGGGAAGAAGACGGAAAAGGGGGAAAAGAGGGAGCAAAGCAACCGUGAGUACUCAUCCAAAGUACUCGCAAGCAAGGAUCUACACUACAUAUGCAUGGGUAUAUGUGUAAAGAGGCAAUACCGGUGGACUGAAUUGCAGAAUGCCAGAAUAGGAGGGGGAUAGCUAGUCCUAUCGAAGACUACAAUUCUGGCAUCCUCCAUCUUGCAGCAUGUAGAAGAGUGUAGAUUGAAGUCCUCCAAGUAGCAUCGCAUAGCAUAAUCCUACCCGGCGAUCCUCCCCUCGUCGCCCUGUGGAAAGCGAUCACCGGGUUGUCGUUGGAACUUGUCUGGGUGUGUUUUAUUAAGUAUCUGGUUCUAGUUGUCAUAAGGUCAAGGUACAACUCCGGGUCGUCCUUUUACCGAGGGACACAACUAUUCGAAUAGAUAAACUUCCCUGCAGGGGUGCACCACAUAACCCAACACGCUCGAUCCCAUUUGGCCGGACACACUUUCCUGGGUCAUGCCCGGCCUCGGAAGAUCAACACGUCGCAGCCCCACCUAGGCACAACAGAGAGGUCAGCACGCCGGUCCAAAUCCUAUGCGCGCAGGGGUCUAGGCCCAUCGCCCAUUGCACACCUGCACGUUGCGUGGGCGGCCGGAAGAACACCUAGCCCCCUUAAUACAAGAGCAGGCUUACGGUCCAAUCCGGCGCGCGCCGCUCAGUCGCUGACGUCACGAAGCCUUCGGCUGAUACCACGACGUCGAGUGCCCAUAACUGUUCCCGUGUAGUUGGUUAGUGCGUAUAGGCCAGUGGCCAGACUCAGAUCAAAUACCAAGAUCUCGUUAAGCGUGUUAUUAUGAAGUAAUCGCGAACGCCGACCAAGGCCAGGCCUACCUCUCGCCUAGGUGGUCUCAACCUGCCCUGUCGCUCCACCAUGAAGAUCCACACAGAGGGCCGUCGGGACAAAUGUCCUUUCAGCCCCCGAUCCGUGAAUCACUCACGGGUACUCUCCGAGCCAACCCGACUUUAGUCACCAUCUGUAUAGUAUGUAUAAAUGUAUAGUAUAUACCCGUGAUCACCUCCCGAGUGAUCACGGCCCGAUAGUAUAGCAAGGCAGACUGACAAGAAUGUAGGGCCACUGAUGAUAAACUAGCAUCCUAUAAGCAUUUAGGAUUGCGGGUAAGGUAUCAACGACUGUAGCAACAAUGACAGGCUAUGCAACAGAAUAGGAGUAACCGAACAGUAACAUGUUACCCUACUCUAAUGCAAACAGUAGAGAGAAGAAUAGGUGAUAUCUGGUGAUCAAGGGGGGGCUUGCCUGGUUGCUCUGGCAAGGAGGGGUCGUCAACUCCGUAGUCGAACUGGGCAGCAGCAGCGUCGGCCUCGUAGUCUACCGGAGAGAUGAGGGGGAAGAAACAGUAAAUACAAUGCAAACAUAAGCAUGACGAUGCAUGACAUGACAAUGAGUGGUGUUAGGUGUGCCCUAAUGCGGUAGUAGGUGAUACCGGCGAAAGGGGGAACCAUCUGGGAAAGUAUCCCCGGUGUUUCCCGUUUUCGGACAGUUGAACCGGAGGUGAAAUGUUGCAGGUUUGCUAUGCUAGGGGCGUGUGGCUGAUGAGCAGGCUGCGUAUUCGGAUUCGUCUCGUCAUCCUGAGCAACUUUCAUGUACAAAGUAUUAUCAUCCGAGGUACGGUUUAUUUUAUAUUAAUUUUAAAAGUUUUAAAUCAUUUUUAGUAUUAACAAAAUUAAUUUAAUUUGAAAAUCGUUUUAUGACGUCGGCAUGACAUCAUCGGUCAACUAUGGACAUUGACUAGUCAACAGACCACUGGGUCCCACAUGUCAUUCACAGCUAACUAACUAACCAAGUUAAUUAGUUUAAUUAACAGAUUAGUUAGGUUAAGUUAAUUUAGAUAAUUAAUUAAUUAAUUAAUAUUUUUAUAUAUUUUUUGUUUCCUUUUUUUAUUGAUCUGGGCAGUGGGUCUCGUUUGGCACUGGCCUAGAGGGCCAAACGGGGGCGGGUUAGUGGGCGCGCGGGCGCUGGGCGGAGCCGGGCGUCGGGCGCCAGCCUGCCCGACAGGGCACCGCGGCCAGGAGGCGAAGGGCGCCAGCGGGUGGCUUGGCGCCGCCGACCAUGGCUGGAGCGGGGCGACGCGGCGUGGCCAGACAAGGCCGGCCAGAGCACAGGGGGUCGGUGGAGUGGGCGCGGGGCACAGCGGUCGCACGGUCUCGCGGGCGCGGCCGCCGGCGGUAUCGGCGAGGGAGGAGAAACAGGGGGAGGCCAGGAGGGGCGCCAGGCGUUAGGGGCGCUUGACGCGGCCAGCGGCGGCGAGGGCCACGACGAGGCCGUCGGCAGGGGCUAGCGGGGAGGAAGAGGCAGCUAGAGGCGGGAGCGGAGCGCGGCGGCGGGCGUGCACGGGGCGCACGCGUGCGGUGGCCGCGGCGACGAGUGUAGGGCGCGCGAGCGUGGGACAGAGGGGAGGGGAGGAGCGAGGCGGAGGCUCACUGGGGCGGUAGGGGUUCGGGCAGCGGGGGUCGAGGAGGAUGUCGGGGACGACGGUGACGAAGAGGAGGCAGGCUGUUGAGGAGGAGGAGGCAGUCCGGCGAGGGAAGCUCCGGCGACGAGGUGGCCGCGGCGGCGGCAGGCGGGGUUCGUCGAGGGGUCGGGGCGACGUGGGGUUCGUUCCCCCCGAUCCCGAUCUGGAUCGGGGAUGGGGGAGAGAGACGAGAGAGUGUGGUGGGGAUCGUGCAGGGGGAGUGGGUGCGCUAGGAGUUAGGGUUUCAGGAUAGUGGGGGGAUAUGGGCGCGGUUGGUGGGCCGGGGUGGUCCGGCCCGUUUGGGCGGCUAAGGCCAGCUGGGCCACUUGGCCCAGCGGGGGGUCCUGUUUUCUUUUCCUUCUUUUUUUUGUUUGCUCGUUUUCCUUUUCUUUCUUUCUUUUUCAAUUUCUUUUCUGUUUAUUUUUACCUUUGUUUUAUAAAUUAUAAAUCUAGCCCCUAAAUUAGUACUAAUACUUAUGACACUACCAUAAUUGAUUUGGCAACCUAAACAAUUAGUUUAUAUUAGUUUAGUAUUUAAAAGAAAUUUAAAUAUUAGUUUUACUGCAGUUUUUUUUAUCAAUUUAGCGCUUUUAACUACUUUCUAAAAAGUUGUUUUCUCCACCAUAAUUACCUACGCAUUAUUUGGCACCUCUCGAACAUUUUAGUUUUAAAGUUUGAAAACUUUUGAUGUUUGCCUUGAUUUUAAAUUUGAAGUUUGAACUGGGUUUCUAACCGACGCGAGUUUAUCAACAGUAACCGAGGUGAUGUGGCAUCAUUAGCAGAGGUUCACUGUAGCUUAAUUAUCCGGGCAUUGUAUAAUAAGGUUAACACACUUAUUUUGGGACAGAGGGAGUACAUCAGAUUGGCUAGGGGUAAGUCGACUAAAAAAAUUAUUUUGGGCCAGCUGAUUCGUUUCGGCCAUCCGAUGCAAAACAAGCGCUCAGAUUGCUUCUUCAAUCUCCAGCGCCCACGUUCUUCUUCUUCCCUAACCGCCCAAACGUACCACCAACCGAACUGCCAGCCACCACCGCCCGCAGCCGGCACCGCUCUUGUGCCCGCCUCGCCGCCCCACCCUCACAUCAAGCGCCUCCCACUGUCGAGCCGCCGCCAGUGGCAGAUAUCCUUCUAACCGCGGCGAUGGCUAGUUUUCUCCGGCGACCCUGCAUCACCUCCCACACCCCUAAGAUAAAUAAUGAGGUCGUCUGCCAUCCCAAGAUAGAUAGCGGGGUCGCGUACCACGCUAAGAUUGACCAGAGGGCUUCACCGGCGAGCCGGCGACUGUUCCUUCUUUCCCUCCGGCUCCUACUUUCUUCUAGCGAAAAUUGACUGACCCAAAUAAUUUUUAGGAGACUUAGAAGUAGCUAAAUUGUACAUACAUUUUAGAUAAUUACACAUUAUUUCAACAAUCAUUCAAAUGAAUCAAAUUCAACAUGCACACAAAUAAACCAUGAACACACAUAUAGUUGCACAGAUCGAGAAAUUCAAAUUAAAACUUGCAUAUAGUUUAUCCUAAGGGCACCACAUUGAUCAAGGUUGAUCUAAAAUAACCACAAUCUAGCAUGUCUUGUGUCAUGCAUCGAGCCGAACCAAUGACAUGCAACACAAGCUCAAAAACCAUCAUCGGCAGAAAUAAUGACCACCUCCAAGGCCUCCAUCAUCACCACCUCCAAGUCUAGGACCAUCCAUAUGGCCACCACCACCAUCACCUUCUUGUCCAUCACCAUCUCGACGGCCACCACCCCAUCACCUCCAAGUCCAUCACCUUCUGCACCACCACCAUCCACAUGGCUACCACCACCAUUUCAAAGAGAGUCCUCUGUUUGGUUCAAGAUCUUUCCACGAGUGAGCUCCCAACACUUUUUUGUUGUGGCAUCUAAUAAGUUCUUCGGCCUUAUUCUCUUUAACAAGCCUCUCCUCCUCUAAUGCAAGCCUACACUCCUCCGCCUUCAACUUCAUCUCUUUGGUCGCCAACUUUGACCUCCAUUUCUCGUCCUCCUAGAACUUGAGCUCAUUUCAUCUUGCCGCCUUCUCUUCUUUGCGUCCGUCCGACAAGGCUUUGUUGGUCUCAAUCAUGGCCACAAGCUCUUAUUUGUAGGUGCUGCCAAAGGCUCCUCUUUUUAUUUCUUUUGCAAUCCUGUUAUCAUUUGGCCUCUUGUUGGGAUUUUUCAUCCUCCUCCUCAUCUUCUUCAAUGGUGAUGUUAAUCCUUCACCUCUUCGGUGUGGUCUCAGAGUUUCUCCUAAUCCACUUCUUAUUGUUGCAGAGUUCUUUGUACAAAUGGUGAAAUGUGAAGGGCUUGCAACCAUUCUUCUUGUUGUGUUGCUUGAAUAACUAUUAGAUGAUAGGCCCAUAGUCCAAGAUUUGCACACCACUCGGUGGUGCAUGGUCGACUUGAUCACUACAACUAGAUCAUCGGUUGCAUUGUGCUUGUAUGGUAACCCAAUGGUGUCCAAGAGCCUUCGGUGUGCUUUAUGGGACUUUCAUGAUGGUAAUAUAGUAAUCUUCAAUCCUACCCCAAAACUUGCCUUCGAUUGAUCUGUUCCAACCGAUGCAUCAAGAGAUUCGUUCAUCCAAGCAUGAGCAACACAAUAUCUUCAUCCUGACAAUAGUUGUGUGUGUUCAACCAUGAUGGUACCUUCAUGCUUGGUUGUGUGUCCAUAGGAUCAUCAAUCUCUUUAGCUUCCUCCUCGGCGUCCUCCUCCUCCACUUCGGGCUCAUAAUCCUCCUUGUACUCUUCUUGUUGAGCAAACAUCAAGUCAUAGUUGAAAUCAUCAAUGCUAAGAAUGUGUGACCCCUCCUAAUAUGACAAGAAUUCAGCCAUGUUCCUCUCCGCAUUACGGCAACAACAACAAACAUCAUCAUACGGCCACAAGAAAUUAGCAAACAACACAUCCGCGGAAAUUAAAAGAUGACGCGCCGGAUGAGCGAGCGUAGGGAUGGCCGGAGAAGGGGUACGAGGCGACGGGCGAGGACGGGGCGCUGAAGUGUGAAGUAAAUAUGCCCUAGAGGCAAUAAUAAAGUUGUUAUUUAUAUUUCCUUAUAUCAUGAUAAAUGUUUAUUAUUCAUGCUAGAAUUGUAUUAACCGGAAACUUAGUACAUGUGUGAAUACAUAUACAAACAAAGUGUCCCUAGUAUGCCUCUACUUGACUAGCUCGUUAAUCAAAGAUGGUUUAGUUUCCUAACCAUAGACAUGUGUUGUCAUUUCAUGAACGGGAUCACAUCAUUGGAGAAUGAUGUGAUGGACAAGACCCAUCCGUUAGCUUGGCAUAAUGAUCGUUUAGUUUUAUUGCUAUUGCUUUCUUCCUGACUUAUACAUGUUCCUCUAACUAUGAGAUUAUGCAACUCCCGAAUACCGGAGGAACACCUUGUGUGCUAUCAAACGUCACAACGUAACUGGGUGAUCAUAAAGAUGCUCUACAGGUGUCUCUGAAGGUGUUUGUUGAGUUGGCAUAAAUCGAGAUUAGGAUUUGUCACUCCGUGUAUCGGAGAGAUAUCUCUAGGCCCUCUCGAUAAUGCGCAUCACUAUAAGCCUUGCAAGCAAUGUGACUAAUGAGUUAGUUACGGGAUGAUACAUUACGGAACGAGUAAAGAGACUUGCCGGUAACGAGAUUGAACUAGGCAUGAUGAUACGGACGAUCGAAUCUCGGGAAAGUAACAUACUGAUGACAAAGGGAACAACGUAUGUUGUUAUGCGGUUUGACCGAUAAAGAUCUUCGUAGAAUAUGUAGGAGCCAAUAUGAGCAUCCAGGUUCCGCUAUUGGUUAUUGACCGGAGAUGUGUCUCGAUCAUGUCUACAUAGUUCUCGAACCCGUAGGGUCCGCACGCUUAACGUUCGAUGACGAUUUGUAUUAUGAGUUAUGUGAUUUGAUGACUGAAGUUUGUUUGAAGACCCGGAUGAGAUCACGGACAUGACGAGGAGUCUCGAAAUGGUCGAGAGGUAAGGAUACAUAUAUUGGAAGGUUACAUUUGGACACCGGAAUGGUUUUGGGAAGUUUCGGAUAAGUUUCAGAGUACCGGGACGUUACCGGACCCCCCCCCCGGGAAGGUAAUGGGCCAACAUGGGCCUUAGUCGAGGAGAGAGGGCCAGCCAUAGGAGGUGGCGCGCCCCCCCCCCCCUUGACAAUCCGAAUUGCACAAGGGGUGGGGGCGGCGCCCCCCCCCUUCCCUCUCCUACUCCUUCUCUCUUUCCCCAUUUGCUACUCCGAAAAAGGAAAAAGAAAGGGGAAUCCUACUAGGACUUGGGAGUCCUAGUAGGACUCCCCACACUUGGCGCGCCCCUAGGGGGCCGGCCUUCUCCUCCUCCCUCCUUUAUAUACGGGAGCAGGGGGAACCCCAAAGCAGAACAGACAAUCUCUUAGCCGUGUGCGGUGCCCCCCUCCACAGUUUAACACCUCGGUCAUAUAGUUGUAGUGCUUAGGCGAAGCCCUGCACCGGUAACUUCAUCAUCAUCGUCACCACGCCGUCGUGCUGAUGGAACUCUCCCUCGUCCUCAACUGGAUCAAGAGCUCGAGGGACGUCAUCGUGCUGAACGUGUGCUGAACACGGAGGUAUCGUACGUUCGGUACUUGGAUCGGUUGGAUCAUGAAGACGUUCGACUACAUCAACCGCAUUACUAAACGCUUCCGCUUUCGGUAUACGAGGGUACGUGGACACACUCUCCGCGCUCGUUGAUAUGCUUCUCCUAGAUAGAUCUAGUGUGAUCGUAGGAAUUUUUUUGAAUUACUAUGUUCCCCAACAAAGUGGCCUUAUUCUUAUUCACCACCUCCUUGGCGAGUGUUGUGGCGAUCGUCAUCCGCUUCCUCCCCCGCUUGCCAGUGGAUGGAGCAGCGGGAUGGAGACCUACGAUCGCCGGAGAGGAUACAACCUUGUCACUGACCUUGCUGCCGACGUUGGUUGCCUAUGUGGUGGCCCGAAGGAGGUUUUUCGUGCCUAACAUCUUCCUUGGUGCGGGAGAUGAUGUGGGGUUAUUUUCGGUGGCAUCGCGGCGGCGGUGGUGGAAGGAUCUUGCCUCUCCAUUCUGGCAGCAAUCGGGGCCAUCGGUCAUGGUGGCGGUGAGAAUGGAUGGCGACGGCGGGAAAUGGUGGUCAACCUGGCCGGAAGAGAGGGGAUCAAAGGUUUUGCCCUUGGUGGUGUCUAGCUAGUAUAUUUGAGAGAGUUGGGUUCUCUUUUGCGACCACGGUAUAAAAGUUGUCCUCCUCUAAAGGUUUGAAACAUCAGUUAGGUGCGGUUAGAGGAGGAAAAUAGUGAGUUAUAGGUUUUUAGGUGAUCUGUUGGAGAUGCUCUUAUAUGGUCAUCUAGAUAACGAAUCAAACUAAGACCGCAAGAGUAUUGCUUGAGUAUGAUCAUCGAGGAGGAUCAAACUUAUUUUGGAAAGAGGAAUAUCUUCUACCUUGUGUGUAUUAUUUCGUGUUCGGUAAUGAUAGAAAUCGGACGUGAGACUUUUAACCAUAGUAAAUUGACUUUUUUUCAUGGCAUAUUGUGUUGUUGCAAAUAUGUCAAUUUCCUUUAGCAGGCAUGCAAAAUCCUGGGAAAAUUGAACAACGCAAGGAUUUAUCAUGCUUGCUAGAGGAAUUUGCCAUCCCCAUAAUAACAUAAUGUGUCAUAAGAAUGUUUGAUCUGUCGUGCUAAAAAAUCUGACGUUCUAUUUGUAGUGAAAUCCUUCAUGAUUGGAUUCAGAAAGGGCGAAAUUUUAUUUGCUCUCGAAACAAAACUUGGCCAAGGAUAAGGGCAAUUUUGGGAAGGAUGAGCGCACAGUUGAGAAGAUUUAGACUAAUGGAGUGAUGAGUGUUAUUAGCCUAUUACUAGAAAGGAAGAGGGGCAAAUGAACUGAUACAAAUUGUUGGCGGGAUGGUAAUAUGACAUUUGGUUGACCUCAGCUCUCAUGGAUGGAGUUCCAAGACUACAUCCUUUCGCAAAUCGACAAUUGGCCCUUUAGAGUUUGAUGCAAGGGAUUAUCAACACCUCUACUAAAUCAGAAGAAUCGAAGAGGCGCACAUCAACAACAUAGCAAAGGGGACAAGCAGCGUUAUUUCUUUGGUUGUCAUCUCAUUAUAGGGCGAUGUCUACUCAACUUUAUACUAGUUGUAUUCAAAUCUGGUUUUUUUCAUUGACAUGGCAAAAACAUAAAUCCUUGCCAUGGGUAGCUCCAUUGAUUUUGUGAUGACAACUUUUUUUAUGUCAAAGUGUAUACAUCUCUUGUUCCUAUGGGCCAAUAGUAUGAUUGUUUAUGGAAACAAUCACAUGGCAUUUUUUGUAUGAUUGUUUUGAUUUGUUCACAUGGCAACUAUUUUCUCAUGGCAAUUCCGUAGAUAAUCACCACAAACAUCAUAUAAGUAUUUGGCUCGUGCAUUUUUUCAUGUGCAAUUAUAUUAUAGGCACCAUAGUUGUUCUAGUAAUCAGAUCAUGACAUUUUUCCUAUCGAUAACUUGGUCGUUUUAUUUUAGGUACAUGGCAUUUUUAUUAGUUAGAGAAUGACAAUUUUUCAAAUUAGACCAUGGCAAAAUUAUGUGUUAUAUCAUGGAAACUCUAUUUUUCAUGGCACUAUGUUUAAAAAAAAUCAAGUGUCAAAGUUUAUAUAUUUUUUCUUUGUGGUGGUAGGGGGGCAAAAUAGUAUGGAUGUUUUUUUUAAUGUUUUCCACAUGGCAAUUUUGCAUGAAUGUUCUAUAUGUUCUCAUGGCAAUUUUCUUAUAAUAGCAAUUUAUGUAGAUAGUCAUCAUAACAUGAUAAUUAUUUUACUCAUGCUAGUAGUGCCAUGUGCAACUUUAUUAUAGGUAGCUUGGCAAUUUCAGUAACUAGACCAUGCCAUUUUACCAUUUUAGAACAUGGUAUCUUUAUCUUAGGUACCGUGGUAAUUUUUUAAGUUAGUGGAUGACAUUUUUUUAAUUAGAUCAUGGCAAUUUCAAGUUAUGUACCAUGACAAAUUAUUCUUUAGAUCAGGACAAUUUCAUUAUUUACACCAUGGCAAAGAGAUUAAUUUCAUCAGGUUAGUUUGUUUGGUGGCAUGGAAGCUUUUUAGGCCAUGGCAAUUUAUUAAAUACCCCAUGGUACAUUUACUUUUCAGACCAUGUCAAUUUUAUUAGUUACGGAUUGGUAGUGCGCCAUUGAAACUUGUGACAUGAUAUGUUGUAUAUGUUAUGCAACAUGGCAUUAUUUAACAAUGUCAUUUCUAUCAUUGUUAUACCAUGUCAAUUUCAAUUUAUGUAGUAUGGGAUUUUUUUACUUUUUUCAAUGCAUGGUGUUUUUUUCAUGGCAAUAAUCUUUAGAAAUGUUGCCAUGUAACCAAAAAAGAUUUUCCUUCAAAUCAUGGCAAUAUUUUAAUUCUAUCCUUUUUGUCAUAGGACAUUUUUAUAACGUUCUAAAAGUGUUUCAUAUAUUCUCAUGGGAAUUUGUCAUGUUUUUUUUAUUAUAACCAACAUGGCAAUUUUAUUAAUUAGAUCAUGGCAGUUUCAUCAAUAAAUUACCAUGGUGGAAGCCUCUCCUUAAACCAGUGAGUUUUUUAAGAGAAGAUAUUCUUUAAAAAGCAUUUUCUUUGAAAUUUAUUGUUGGGAUCUCCAUCGACAACAUGUCAUUUUUAUUUUGAAGAGAAUGAUAUUUUUAUUAUUAUGAAAAAGCAAUUUUACCAUUAACACCAUGAAACUUUUUGUUAAGACCAUGGCAAUUAUUUUACCAUUAUUUUUAGUGGCAUCAAAAAUUUAAUUUUUGUAUGAUGGGAAUGUUCUUUGUGUGAUUUUUUUUUGAAUAAGAGAAAAUAUAGAGCAUGGCAACUUUAGUUUUUGUAGGCAUUUCUAAUUUUAUUGUCAUGUCAUUUCUAUUAUUUUUAUCAUGGCAAUUUCCUUUGAUUUUUAAAGCAUUUUAAAUUUGAAUCAUCCUCGAUCAUGACAAUUGUCCUUUUUCUUUUCUAUACACUUUUUCAAAUUUUCCAUGUAUGACGGUAUUUCCGUGAAAAUACCGCUUUUUAUAUCAUUUUGCACCUAGCAGUUUUUAUGUACAUAUUUUCUUCUUUUUGUGUUUUUAGUAACGUGGUAGUUUUGAUUAAAAAAACUAAAUUUUGUAGCACGUCAAAUUCUGUAUUUUUUUUCUUUUCUGAGAUGUAGAACACAUUUUUUAGAGGAAUGCGUGGUACAUGAUUAAUAGGAAUGUGUGGUACAAGAUUAAUUUUGAAGAUGACUGUAUUUUAUUUUUAUACAUCAUGACAUUUUUUGUGUUAUUUUAAUUUUUUAAAAUGAGACACUUCUAGAAAAUACCAUUUUCUACCUAUUAGCCUUUGCAAUGUUGUACACAAAAUUAUCUCAAAGUUCCUUGUCAAUAGGCUAAGACCCCUGCUGGAUGGUAUGAUCUCCCCUACCCAAAGUGCUUUUAUCCCCGGAAGAUUAAUUUCGGAUAAUGCUCUUAUCGCCUUUGAAUGUAUGCACUCAUUGAAUACUUUGAAAGAUUCUCGUGGAGAAUACUGUGCAUAUAAACUGGAUCUAGCUAAAGCAUACGAUCGUGUUGACUUGAAGUUCCUGGAAUGUAUGCUUCGUGCAUAUGGUUUUGAUCCAAUCUGGAUUAAUUGGAUUAUGACUUGUGUUACCUCAGUGAAACUCUCGGUGCGCUUUAAUGGCCAGUUGUUAGAGUCUUUUCAUCCUUCCCGUGGUCUGAGGCAAGGGGAUCCAUUAUCACCGUACUUAUUCCUCUUUGUAGAUGAGGCCCUAUCGCUAUUACUCAAUGAUGCAUCAGCAAGAGGGACUAUCCAAGAUUUCCGACUGAACAGACAUGCUCCAGCUAUAUCUCAUUUAUUAUUUGCCGAUGAUAGUCUCCUAUAUUUUAAGGGUUCUCUAGAGCAAGCUUUGGCUAUUAAAGAUAUUUUGAAGGCUUAUGAGGAAGGUACAGGCCAAUUAUUAAGUCCAGACAAGUGUUCCAUUUUAUUUGGCAAAAAGUGUCCUAUUGAGAUGCAGGUGUCUCUUCUGGUUAUCCUUAAAAUCACGUGUGAUGGGUUUGAGGAUAAAUACCUUGGCCUCCCAGUUCCAGAAGGUCGUAUGAAGGCCGACAAAUUUCAAUAUACAAAAGAUAAAGCUCUUAAGAGGGGUUUAGACUGGAUCGAAAAAUAUGCUUCUAGCGGGGCGAAGGAAAUCCAGAUUAAGUCUGUUAUUCAGGCCAUUAUGGUCUAUGCCAUGAGUAUUUUUAAAUUCCCUAUGACUCUGUGUGAUGAUCUAUCUCAAAUUAUAAGGAUUUUUUGAUGGGGUGAUGAGGAGAAUAGAAGAAGAACUCAUUGGUUGGCUUGGGAAAAUUGACGAAGUCAAAAGGUGAAGGGGGUAUGGAAUUUCGGGACCUCAGGCUUUUCAAUCAAGCACUUUUGGCCAAACAAGCUUGGCGUUUAUUGGUUUUUCCAGACUCUUUGUGCGCAAAGGUGAUGAAAGCUAAAUGUUAUCCUCAUGGGCAUCUUAUUGAUACUGUCUUUCCUCAAGCGACUUCGCUUAUGUGACAAGGUAGUAUGCAUGGACUCGAAUUGUUGAAAAGGGGUAUCAUCUGGAGAGUCGUCGAUGGUGCUAGUACAAAUAUUUGGAGGGAUAAUUGGCUUUCGAGGGAUUCUGGCCUAAAAAUUUCUGCUAAGAGGACCAGAAUGAGGGUCAAAUGGGUUGCUGAUUUAUUCAGGAGUGGCUCAAGGAGAUGGGAUGAGAAUUUAAUCAGGCAUAUGUUUUACCCUCAUGAUGUGGAGGAAAUUUUAAAGUUACGCAUUCUAAAUUUGUACGAGGGUGACUUCAUCGCCUGUCACCAUGAGAAAAAUGGGUUGUUUUUAGUGAAGAGUGUGUAUAGGUUGGCCCUGAAUAUUUAAGGACUCAGACAUGGCACUGGGGAACUCCAGUGUAUCUGUUAAUGGGGAAAGGAGGCUCUGGAAUAUUAUUUGGAAGGCUAACGUACCUCAGAAGAUUAGAAUCUUUGCUUGGAGGGUUGCAUCUAAUAGCCUAGCCGUACAAGUUAACAGAGUAAAACACCAUCAAGCUACCCUAGGUACAUGCUCAAUCUGUGGUGUUGAAGAUGAAUGUGUUUUUCAUGCUUUGGUAUGUUGUCCCAAGGUAUGUGCAUUCCGUAUGGGUUUGAGGGAGGUGUGGAAUUUGUCGGAUGAAGAUAUUUUAAAUUGUUCAGGGCCGGACUGGUUACUUAUUUUAUUGGAUCAGUUAAGUUCGCCUAUGCGUGAACAAACAAUUUUCAUGUUCUGAAGAGCUUGGCAUUUGAGAAAUGACUUGAUUUUUUUGUAAAGGAAAGGAAUCAAUCUCGACCUCAGUGAGUUUUAUUCAAAAUUAUUGGGCAUCAUUCUCAUCUUGUCAUGCUAAAAUGAAGGUAGUGGUAGGUAACAAAGGUAAGGGUGUGAUUGAUGGUUUACAACCCAUUAGUAAUGUGGAGAGGACUUGUGUUCCAUGGCUACCUCCCACUCCGGAAUUCCUCAAGAUUAAUGUUGAUGCAAGUUUUGUGGAGGCCAUUAGCGCUGCGAGCGUUGGGGUGGUUGUUAGAAAUCAUUCUGGAGAAGUUCUUAUUUCUUCUUGGGAUUAUAUUGGUACUUGUCUUAGUGAUGAGGAAGCGGAACUUCGAGCAGCCAUCUCAGGCCUUUACAUUGGUAUCACUCUUCACAAGCCCAUUAUUUUGGAAACUGACUGCUCUUUUGUGACCUUGGUUUUUGCAAAUGAUAACCUGGACAGGUCAAACCUUGCUGAUUUGAAGAAGGAAGCGUUGAGUGUCUCCAAGAUGAUGAGUACUUUAAAAAUCACCAAGAUUAACAGGAAGACAAAUAUGGUGGUGCAUGAGAUUGCAAAAUUUAGUUUUAUAAAUAGAUCUGAUGGUAUUCUUAUUAAUAGUGUUCCGCCCUGCGUGGCUAGAGCUGUAACGAAUGAUUGAACGAACAUUUGUGUCAAUUAAUUAAUAUAUGGAUGGGGUUUUUCAAACAAAAAAACCAUUUUCUGCUCUUUAGUAGUGUCAUAGGAAAUUGACUCUUUUUUGUCGAUUGAAGUCUUACAUGGGAAGUGUUCGUUUUCGUUCGCUGACAUAGGAAGUUCCCGCCAAACAUUUGGUUAUGUUGUGCAUUUUCUUCACACUAGUAGAUAUGUAUCGUAAAUCCGACACAUAUCUACCAGGCGGUAAGUGUGGUAAAAGCAACUGCAAACGAACACAGAAAAAUGAGCGACGCUAUGUGUCCGCCGGUGGAUCAUUUUCGAAGAUCCGCCACCUCCACAGCCGUUUGAUCUGGCGUCAUCCUUCGACCCGGCUCUUUUUUCGCAUCAUUGCAAGUUUGCAACAAAGGCAGUGUUGAAGAAUAGUUCUCAACAGACCUCUUGUUGCAGAAACAUUUGCAACCGAGAUUCUGUUGCAUAUAUUUUUUUGUCUUAACUUUUUUGAAACAUGGUUGUCAUUGCGGAAGGACACCUGUAACAUAGAUGAUGAUGCAAAAAAAAUUCAUCUUAAUGAUUUUAUAAUAUGGAUGUUUUUGUGGAAGAACUUCUGCAACCCAGAUGAUGUUUGCGGAAAGAUGGCAGUGACACGUGUAGGUCUUGGGCGGCUGAUAGAGUCUGCACGUUAUCCGAUUAAACUCAUAUCUGACCGCUGCGCGUAGGACUAGGACGGAAAUAUAACCGUGAUCUAUCGGGUGAUUCUAAUCGUUUUCCAAGAAAAAUCCAACACAAAUCUCUUCUCCAUGGGGCUUUGGGAAGUGGAUUCAAUAAGCCUUCGAAAACAAUAAAAGAGAAUCAUGAGAGAGACUUCUCUGACACAAAGGUAAUCAUGCAUAAUCCGAGUCGUAGUAGAUACAUCUCGUGUAAUUCUCAACAAAAAAAAACAUCUCGUGUGUUUUCUCCACACUAGUACUUGUAGAUAUGUAUUGUAAGUAAUCUGACACAUAUCUACCAGGCGUGGUAAAAACAAUUUCGAACAGACAAAAAAAUCCGACACAUAUCCAAGAGAAUCAUGAGAGGGACUUCUCUAACACGAAGGGAAUCAUACUUCGCAAAAAAAAAACACGUAGGUAAUCAUGCAUAAUCCCAGUCGAUAACCAACCGCGUCUGUUUCAGUCCGUCUCCCAGCACGGCUCCGCAAUCGCAACAAGUUCCUCUCCAAACAACUACGUAUAUAAAGCCAGCUCCUCCCGACAAUUCAGGUACCAAGUUCGUACGGCGAGAGAAGACGAAGCAGGGCCAAGAAGCAGAUUGCGUCCAGCUCCUCCACGCAUUGUCUUCCCACGGCCCGGCGGCGAGAAUGACCAAGGGGUGCGCGGCCUUCUUGGUGGGCAACGACGGGGAGGCGCCCCGGAGGUUCGCGGUGCCGGUGACUCUGCUCAGGCACCCGGCGAUCGUCGAGCUGCUCGCCGAGGCGUGGGAGAAGUACGGGUACGCGCACGAGGGCGCCAUCGUCGGCCCCUGCAGCGCGGAGCGGUUCCAGAGGGCGGUCGACGCGGCGAGGGCCCAAGAACGGCACCAUCACCACUUCCGGCUUCCGCACCUCGCCGGGUGCUUUAGGUCCCCGCAUAUUGUUGCGUAGGAUGCUUACGCGCGGCUUUGCUUCUAGCUAGUUUGUGCGGCCUUUCUUGGUUUCUUGGUGCGGUGAUCGAAUUGAUAGACACCCCCGUGAUCUGAGAAAGCUUAGUAUAGUACGUAAUAGUAUGUUGUAUCUGGUUGAUCGAGUCUCCAUGAAGCAUGCAGAUUCCAUCUGUGAUCGAUCGCUAUGAUGGAGCAUAAUUUUGUAGCCCCGAGAUUGAUUAAUUGACUGGUACUGCACAGUUUUUGUUUGCAUAUGUGACGAGAAUUCAGGGAUUGUUACAUUGUUAGUCAAAUUAUUCUCCGGUUGACUCUGUUUUCUAAGAAAUUUGAUCAAGCACACUGAUUGCUCGAUUAUAGUAAGGUUAACUUAACGGACUACUCGUGGUUCCAGUAGUUUUUUUCUUGUAGGUAACGUGGUUCCAAUAGUUGACUUGAAUUUCGAUCAAAAUGACGACGUCCCUGAAUCAUUUUUUUCUUGACAUCUGGUCAUCCGGAUGCGCCAUCAAAUGGAAACCCGUCUCCCGCUCCUAACCCUGCCUGCUCCCGUGUGGCGCCGCCGCACCGCACCGGAGUGCGCCCGCCGGCCGUCUCCCGUUCACUCCAGCGCAUCGCUCUUCCCGUGCCGCCGCCGGGGGCGUCGCAUGCAAAGCCUGUAUGCCGCAGCGGCGGCGCCGGCGUUUCUCCUCGGCCAACGAUUCAGUCAAGACGGCGGCAAUCCGCAAUGGCCGAAUCAACAUUAGUGGUGCAAGGCGGCGGCGGCCAAGCAGGCGGCGGCGUUCGGCGACGGGUCCAACGGCGGCGGCUUGGGCGGGCCGCAGUUGUCGAUGUCGUGUACCGUCUCAUCAACGGCAUAUGUUGUCUCUGGGAUCGACCCGCAUCACGAGGACGUUGGGGGAUCUGGCCCUAGGCGUGGCGGUGGUGGCCGCCUUCUUCGCCGAAGAUGGUCAGCCUGAAGCUGGGUGGUCGGAUAUCCAGAUCCGUCAUCUAGUCCCGGCUGCGAGUUGGUGAGACAAAGUUGCUCGUGAAAAUGAAGCCAAUGGCAAUGUUUUGCGUCGUUGCCUUGAUGAAGGCAGCGUCGUGUAACUUCUGUCGACCCAUUCGUGCUGCUUCGGGGGAAACCUAAAGAUCUGGUCAUCCAGAUCGGACGAUGGCGGUAUUGCAGUGUCGUUACUCUUUUGAGAGCAUCGUUUGUGGAGCAGUGCUGGAAGACAGAGGCAGAAGGUGGAGCGGCUAAGUCUUGCACGGAGUUUCGGUGGAGAUGUCAAGUCAUGCCUGACCGACAAGUGAUAUGCCGUGUCAUGCCUGGUCGGCAGGUGCUGCGCACGACAGAUCUUCCAGAGUCUUCGCGUCUGGAUGAAUGCGCGCAGGGCGGUGGCGCCGUUGGACGCCGUGGUGGCGUCGAUGGAUGUCUGGACCGGCAAUAAUGAUGCGGAUCUCUAUCCUGAAGAUGGGUCAGUGGUCCGAUGAUGAUGGUGGUUUCUGACUUCUAAAACGUGUGCAUGUGGUGCGCGCUUUAGGUCUGCUGCGGCUGUUGGUCCCGAUACAUUAAGUGGAUGGAUCGGCGACGACAUCGGUUUUAGAUAUGGGGGGGUGAGAAUUAUCGAGUUUGUAGGUGUGAGUGGUGGCUAUGGGUGACUUGAUGUAUUUUCUUCUCACGCCUUUGUGGAAUAAUUAAUAAAGAUGGCUGUAUGCACCGAGAUGCAGAGGCCAGGGGUUUGACCUCCUUUUCCAAAAAAAAAUCCAGAUGCGCCAUCAAACUAAAGCCGCAGGAACCACACUUGAGUAUGGUCAUCGAGGAGGAGCACACUUAUGUUAAAAAGAGUGUGAGCUACCCUCUGGUUAACCCACACACGCCAUGGAUCUUGAUCUAGAAUUUGAAUUUGAUAGAAGCUUUUCCGCCCAACCUCCCUCACUUCUCGAAUCCUAGCCAAAACAUAAUGAAUAGCACAACGGCUAUAAGUAUACGAAUCGAAAGCUAAUGGGCCAGCUUGGGCUGGCCAGCCAUUGUGGUAGUCUCAUGGGUCUUGUAGACUUCGGCCGGCCUUCCUUCUCUCCACUACUAGAUGCAUUGUCGACAACAACUGGAUCAGAAACAACGUCUUCAGAUAAGUCACCGUCGGUGUCAUCAGGUUCAGAAGCAGUGACAUUGGGUAUGCAGACAUCCCCUUCCUUCAGUCGAGGCUUGUGAUACGUCUCCAAUGUAUCUAUAAAUUUUGAUUGUUCCAUGCUAUUAUAUUACCUAUUUUGGAUGUUUAUGGGCUUUACUUUAUACAUUUAUAUCAUUUUUGGGACUAACCUACUAACCGGAGGCCCAACCCGUAUUGCUGUUUUUUUGCCUAUUUCAGUAUUUCGAAAAAAAGGAAUAUCAAAACGGAGUCCAAACGGAAUGAAACCUUCAGGAGCGUGACUUUUGGAACGAACAUGAUCCAGAGGACUUGGAGUGCACGUCAAGAAGCGAUCGAGGAAGCCAUGAGGGUGGAGGGUGCGCCCUUCCCUGGUGGGCACGCCCCCUGUCUCGUGGGCCCCUCGGGCGGCCACCGACCUACUUCUUCCUUCUAUAUAUACCCACGUACCCUGAAAACAUCAGAGGCGACCACGAAAAACUAUUUCCACCACCGUAACCUUCUGUAUCCGCGAGAUCCCAUCUUGGAGCCUUCGCCGGCGCUCCGCCGGAGGGGGAAUCAACCACGGAAGGCUUCUACAUCAACACCAUAGCCCUUCCGAUGAGUUGUGAGUAGUUUACCACAGACCUUCGGGUCCAUAAUUAUUUGCUAGAUGGCUUCUUCUCUUUUUUUGGAUCUCAAUACAAUGUUCUCCCCCUCUCUUGUGGAGAUCUAUUUGAUGCAACUCUUUUUGCGGUGUGUUUGUCGAGAUCCGAUGAAUUGUGGGUUUAUGAUCAAGUUUAUCUAUGAGAAAUAUUUGAAUCUUUUCUGAAUUCUUUUAUGUAUGAUUGAGUUAACUUUGCAAGUCUCUUCGAAUUAUCAGUUUGGUUUGGCCUACUAGAUUGAUCUUUUCUUGCAAUGGGAGAAAUGCUUACCUUUGGGUUCAAUCUUGCAGUGUUCUUUCCCAGUGACAGCAGGGGCAGCAAGGUACGUAUUGUAUUGUUGCCAUCGAGGAUAAAAAGAUGGGGUUUAUAUCAUAUUGCAUGAGUUUAUCCCCCUACAUCAUGUCAUCUUUCUUAAUGCGUUACUCUGUUCUUUCUGAACUUAAUACUCUAGAUGCAGGCAGGAGUCGGUCGAUGUGUGCAGUAAUAGUAGUAGAUGCAGGCAGGAGUCGGUCUACUUGUCACGGACGUGAUGCCUAUAUACAUGAUCAUGCCUAGAUAAUCUCAUAAUUAUUCGCUUUUCUAUCAAUUGCUCGACAGUAAUUUGUUCACCCACCGUAAUACUUAUGCUAUCUUGAGAGAAGCCACUAGUGAAACCUAUGGCCCUCGGGUCUAUGUUUUAUCAUAUAAGUUUGCUAUUUACUUUUAUCCGCAUCUUUACUUUUCCAAUCUAUAUCAUAAAAAUACCAAAAAUAUUUAUCUUAUCAUAUUAUCUCUAUCAAAUCUCACUUUCGCAAGUGGCCGUGAAGGGAUUGACAACCCCUUUAUUGCGUUGGUUGUGAGUUCUUUGUUUGUUUAUGUAGGUGCGUGGGACUUUUUGGGGAGUCUCCUACUGGAUUGAUACCUUGGUUCUCAAAAACUGAGGGAAAUACUUACGCUACUGUGCUGCAUCACCCUUUCCUCUUCAAGGAAAACCAACGCAAGCUUAAGACGUAGCAAGAAGGAUUUCUGGCGCCGUUGCCGGGGAGGCUUCCAUCAAGUCAAGACAUAACAAGUACCCAUCACAAACUCAUCUCCCUCGCAUUUACAUUAUUUGCCAUUUGCCUCUCGUUUUCCUCUCCCCCACUUCACCCUUGCCGUUUUGUUCGCCCUCUCUUUCCCAAUCUUCUCCUCUUUUUUUCGCUUGCCUUUUUGUUUGCUUGUGUGUUGGAUUACUUGUCGCCAUGGCGCAAGAUAAUACCAAGCUGUGUGAUUUUUCCAAUACCAAUAAUAAUGAUUUCCUUAGCACUCCAAUUGCUCCUCUUAAUGACGCUGAAUCUUGUGAAAUCAAUACCGUUUUGCUGAAUCUUGUUAUGAAAGAUCAAUUCUCUGGCCUUCCUAGUGAAGAUGCCGCUACCCAUCUAAACAGCUUUGUUGAUUUGUGUGAGAUGCAAAAGAAGAAAUAUACGGAUAAUGAUAUUGUUAAAUUGAAAUUAUUUCCGUUUUCACUUAGAGAUCGCGCUAAAGUUUGGUUUUCGUCUUUGCCUAAAAAAUAGUAUUGAUUCAUGGAAUAAGUGCAAAGAUGCUUUUAUCUCUAAGUAUUUUCCUCCCGCUAAGAUUAUCUCUCUUAGGAACGAUAUUAUGAAUUUUAAACAACUUGAUCAUGAGCAUGUUGCCCAACCUUGGGAAAGAAUGAAAUUGAUGAUUCGCAAUUGCCCUACUCAUGGUUUGAAUUUAUGGAUGAUCAUACAAAAUUUUUAUGUCGGCUUGAAUUUUGCUUCUAGAAAUCUUUUAGAUUCGGCCGCGGGAGGCACGUUUAUGGAAAUCACCUUAGGAGAAGCUACCAAACUCCUUGAUAAUAUUAUGGCUAAUUAUUCUCAAUGGCACACCGAAAGAUCUACUAGUAAAAAAGUGCAUGCUAUAGAAGAAAUUAAUGUUUUGAGUGGAAAGAUGGAUGAACUUAUGAAAUUGUUUGCUACUAAGAGUGUUUCUAUUGAUCCCAGUGAUAUGCUUUUGUCUACUUUGAUUGAGAAUAAUAAUGAAUCUAUGGAUGUUAAUUUUGUUGGUAGGAAUUUGGUAACAAUGCUUAUAGAGGAAACUUUAAUCCUAGACCGUUCCCUAGUAAUUCCUUUAAUAAUUAUGGAAAUUCCUACAAUAAUUCUUAUGGUAAUUUUAAUAAGAUACCCUUUGAUUUUGAGAAUAGUGUGAAAGAAUUUAUGAUCUCUCAAAAUAAUUUUAAUGCCUUGCUUGAAGAAAAAUUGCUUAAAGUUGAUGAUUUGGCUAGGAACGUUGAUAGACUUUCGCUUGAUGUUGAUUCUUUGAAACUUAGAUUUACUCCUGCUAAGCAUGAUAUCAAUGAGUCCCUCAAAGCUAUGAGAAUUUCCAUUGAUGAGUGCAAAGAAAGAACCGCUAGAUUGCGUGCUAAAAAAGAUUGCUUUAUAAAGGCGUGUUCUUCUAGUCUCCAUGAUAAUAAUGAUGAAGAUCUAAAAGUUAUUAAUGUGUCCCCUAUUAAAUCUCUGCUUUGCAAUAUGAAUCUUGAUAAUGAUGGGACUGAAUAUGAUCCACCUUUGCCUAGAAGGCGUUCCAAAAAUUCGGAAUUUCUAGAUCUUGAUGCAAAAAUUGGUAAAAGUGAGAUUGAAGAGAUUAAAACUCUAGAUAAUAAAUUUACCAUUGCAGAUUUCAAGGAAUUUAAUUAUGAUAAUUGUUCUUUAAAACAUUGUACUUCCUUGUUGCAAUCCGUUGUGAAUUCUUCUCAUGCUUAUAGUCAAAAUAAAGCUUUUACCAAACAUAUUGUUGAUGCCUUGAUGCAAGCUUAUGAUGAAAAACUUAAUUUGGAAGUUUCUAUACCUAGAAAACUUUAUGAUGAGUGGGAACCGACUAUAAAGAUUAAAAUUAAAGAUCAUGAGUGUUAUGCUUUAUGUGAUUUGGGUGCUAGUGUUUCCACGAUUCAGAAAACUUUAUGUGAUAUUCUAGGUUUCCAUGAUCUUGAUGAUUGCUCAUUAAAUUUGCACCUUGCGGAUUCCACCAUUAAAAAGCCUAUGGGAAAAAUCAAUGAUGUUCUUAUUGUUGCAAAUAGGAAUUUUGUGCCCGUAGAUUUUAUCGUUCUUGAUAUAGAUUGCAAUCUUUCUUGUCCUAUUGUUCUUGGUAGACCUUUCCUUAGAACGAUUGGUGCAAUUAUUGAUAUGAAGGAAGGGAAUAUUAUAUUCCAUUUCCAUUAAGGAAAGGCAUGGAGCACUUUCCAAGAAAGAAAGUCAAACUACCUUAUGAAUCUAUCAUGCGAGCCACUUAUGAAUUGCGUGCCAAAAAUGGCACUACUUAGAUCUAUCCUUGCUUUUAUGCCUAGCUAGGGGCGUUAAACGAUGGCGCUAGUUGGGAGGCAACCCAAUUUUCUUUGUGUUUUUUGUUUUUGGUUCUGUUUAGUAAUAAAUUUAUCAUCUACCUUCUGUUUAGAUGUGUUUUUAUGUUUUAAUUAGUGUUUGUGCCAAGUAGAACCUAUAGGAUUUUCUUGGAUGACAAAUAUUUGAUAUUGCUGAAAAUUCCAGAAACUUUCUGUUCAUGAAAACAUAUUUUUAAAAUCACCAGAACGUGAUAAAAUACUGAUUCCAAUUGCAGUAGAUCAAUAAACAAAUUAUCUAGGUCUUACUAUUUUGGUAGAAUUUUUUGAGUUCCAGAAGUUUGCGUUAGUUACAGAUUACUACAGACUGUUCUGUUUUUGACAGAUUCUGUUUUCCGUGUGUUGUUUGCUUAUUUUGAUGCAUCUAUGGCUAAUAAAAUAGUUUAUAAACCAUAGAGAAGUUGGAAUACAGUAGGUUUAACACCAAUAUAAAUAAAGAAUGAGUUCAUUACAGUAACUUGAAGUGGUGUUUUGUUCUCUUUCGCUAAUGGAGCUUACGAGAUUUCUGUUGAGUUUUGUGUUGUGAAGUUUUCAUGUUUUGGGUAAAGAUUUGAUGGACUAUGGAAUAAGGAGUGGCAAAAGCCUAAGCUUGGGGAUGCCCAAGGCACCCCAAUAUAUUCAAGAAUAGCCAAAAGACUAAGCUUGGGGAUGCCCCGGGAAGGCAUCCCCUCUUUCGUCUUCGUUUAUCGGUAACUUUACUUGGAGCUAUAUUUUUAUUCACCACAUGAUAUGUGUUUUGCUUGGAGCGCCUUGUAUGAUAUUAGUCUUCGCUUUUUAGUUUGCCACAAUCAUCCUUGAUGUACACACCUUUUGGGAGAAACCUACUAGAUUAGAAUUUAUUAGAAUACUCUAUGAGCUUCACUUAUAUCUUUUGAGCUAAAUAGUUUUUGCUCUAGUGCUUCACUUAUAUUUUUUUAGAGCACGGCGGUGGCUUAAUUUUGUAGAAAUUGUUGAUCUCUCAUGCUUCACUUAUAUUAUUUUGAGAGUCUUUUAGAACAGCAUGGUAUUUGCUAUGGUUAUAAAAUUGGUCCUAGAAUGAUGGGCAUCCAAGUUGGGUAUAAUAAAAACUAUCAUAGAAAGUGAAUUGGAUGCUAUGAUCAAUUUGAUACUUGAUAAUUGUUUUGAGAUAUGGAGGUAGUGAUAUUAGAGUCAUGCUAGUUGGGUUAUUAUGAAUUUAAAGAAUACUUGUGUUGAAGUUUGAGAUUCCCGUAGCAUGCACGUAUGGUGAACCGCUUUGUGAUGAAGUCGGAGCAUAAUUUAUUUAUUGAUUGUCUUCCUUAUGAGUGCCGGUCGGGGACGAGCGAUGGUCUUUUCCUACCAAUCUAUCCCCCUAGGAGCAUGCGCGUAGUACUUUGUUUUUGAUGACUUCUAGAUUUUUUGCAAUAAGUAUAUGAGUUCUUUUGACUAAUGUUGAGUCCAUGGAUUAUACGCACUCUCACCCUUCCACCAUUGCUAGUCUCUCUUGUGCCGUACAACUUUCGCCGGUACCAUACACCCACCAUAUACCUUCCUCAAAACAGCCACCAUACCUACCUAUUAUGGCAUUUCCAUAGCCAUUCCGAGAUAUAUUGCCAUGCAACUUUCCACCGUUCCGUUUAUAUGACACGCAUCAUCAUUGUCAUAUUGCUCUUUGCAUGAUCAUGUAGUUGGCAUCGUAUUAGUGGCAAAGCUACCUCCAUAAUUUCAUACAUGUCACUCUUGAUUCAUUGCAUAUCCCGGUACACCGCUGGAGCCAUUCAUAUAGAGUCAUAUCUUGUUCUAAGUAUUGAGUUGUAAACAAAUAAAAGUGUGAUGAUCUUCAUUAUUAGAGCAUUUUCCCAGUGAGGAAAGGAUGAUGGAGACUAUGAUUCCCCCAAGGGUCGGGAUGAGACUCCGGACUUUAAAAAUAAAUUAAAAAAGAGGCCAAAGAAACCCACCAAAAGAAUGAGAGAAAAGAGAGAAGGGACAAUGCUACUAUCCUUUUUACCACACUUGUGCUUCAAAGUAGCACUAUAAUCUUCAUGAUAGAGAGUCUCCUAUAUUGUCACUUUCAUAUACUAGUGGGAAUUUUCAUUAUAGAACUUGGCUUGUAUAUUCCAAUGAUGGGCUUCCUCAAAAUGCCCUAGGUCUUCGUGAGCAAGCGAGUUGGAUGCACACCCACUUAGUUUCUUUUGAUGAGCUUUCAUACAUUUAUAGCUCUAGUGCAUCCGUUGCAUGGCAAUCCCUACUCACUCACAUUGAUAUCUAUUAAUGGGCAUCUCCAUAGCCAGUUGAUACGCCUAGUUUAUGUGAGACUAUCUUCCUCCUUUUUGUCUUCUCCACAACCACCAUUCUAAUCCACAUAAAGUGCUAUGUCCAUGGCUCACGCUCAUGUAUUGUGUGAAAGAUUGAAAAAGUUUGAGAUUACUAAAGUAUGAAACAAUUGCUUGGCUUGUCAUCGGGGUUGUGCAUGAUUAAAUACUUUGUGUGAUGAAGAUAGAGCUUAGCCAGACUAUAUGAUUUUGUAGGGAUAACUUUCUUUAGCCAUGUUAUUUUGAGAAGACAUGAUUACUUUGAUUAGUAUGCUUGAAGUAUUACUAUUUCUUAUGUCAAUAUGAACUUUUAUUUUGAAUCAUUUGGAUCUGAACAUUCAUGCCACAAUAAAGAAAAUUACAUUGAGAAUUAUGGUAGGUAGCAUUCCACAUCAAAAGUUCUGUUUUUAUCAUUUACCUACUUGAGGACGAGCAGGAAUUAAGCUUGGGGAUGCUUGAUACGUCUCCAACGUAUCUAUAAUUUUUUAUUGUUCCAUGCUAUUAUAUUACCUAUUUUGGAUGUUUAUGGGCUUUACUUUACACAUUUAUAUCAUUUUUGGGACUAACCUACUAACCGGAGGCCCAGCCCGUAUUGCUGUUUUUUUGCCUAUUUCAGUAUUUUGAAGAAAAGGAAUAUCAAACGGAGUCCAAACAGAAUGAAACCUUUGGGAGCGUGAUUUUUGAAACGAACAUGUCCAAAGGACUUGGAGUGCACGUCAAGAAGCGAUCGAGGAAGCCACGAGGGUGGAGGGCGCGCCCUUCCCUAGUGGGCACGCCCCCUGUCUCGUGGGCCCCUCGGGCGGCCACCGACCUACUUCUUCCUCCUAUAUAUACCCACGUACCCCGAAAACAUCAGAGGCGACCACGAAAAACUAUUUCCACCACCGUAACCUUCUGUAUCCGCGAGAUCCCAUCUUGGAGCCUUCGUCGGCGCUCCGCCGAAGGGGGAAUCGACCACGGAGGGCUUCUACAUCAACACCAUAGCCCUUCCGAUGAGUUGUGAGUAGUUUACCACAGACCUUCGGGUCCAUAGUUCUUAGCUAGAUGGCUUCUUCUCUCUUUUUGGAUCUCAAUACAAUGUUCUCCCCCUCUCUUGUGGAGAUCUAUUCGAUGUAACUCUUUUUGCGGUGUGUUUGUCGAGAUCCGAUGAAUUGUGGGUUUAUGAUCAAGUUUAUCUAUGAGAAAUAUUUGAAUCUUUUCUGAAUUCUUUUAUGUAUGAUUGGGUUAUCUUUGCAAGUCUCUUCGAAUUAUCAGUUUGGUUUGGCCUACUAGAUUGAUCUUUCUUGCAAUGAGAGAAGUGCUUAGCUUUGGGUUCAAUCUUGCGGUGUCCUUUCCCAGUGACAGCAGGGGAAGCAAGGCACGUAUUGUAUUGUUGCCAUCGAGGAUAAAAAGAUGGGGUCUAUAUCAUAUUGCAUGAGUUUAUCCCUCUACAUCAUGUCAUCUUUCUUAAUGUGUUACUCUGUUCUUUAUGAACUUAAUACUCUAGAUGCAGGCAGGAGUCGGUCGAUGUGUGGAGUAAUAGUAGUAGAUGUAGGCAGGAGUCGGUCCACUUGUCACGGACGUGAUGCCUAUAUACAUGAUCAUGCCUAGAUAAUCUCAUAAUUAUUCGCUUUUCUAUCAAUUGCUCGACAGUAAUUUGUUCACCCACCGUAAUACUUAUUCUAUCUUGAGAGAAGCCACUAGUGAACCUAUGGCCCCCGGGUCUAUUUUUAUCAUAUAAGUUUGCUAUUUACUUUUAUCCGCAUCUUUACUUUUCCAAUCUAUAUCAUAAAAAUACCAAAAAUAUUUAUCUUAUCAUAUUAUCUCUAUCAGAUCUCACUUUCGCAAGUGGUCGUGAAGGGAUUGACAACCCCUUUAUUGCGUUGGUUGCGAGUUCUUUGUUUGUUUGUGUAGGUGCGUGGGACUUUUUGGGGAGUCUCCUACUGGAUUGAUACCUUGGUUCUCAAAAACUGAGGGAAAUACUUACGCUACUGUGCUACAUCACCCUUUCCUCUUCCAGGAAAACCAACGCAAGCUCAAGACGUAGCAGCUUGUCCCCAAGCCGAGGUACGAGGGAACUGCUGCUUUAGGGCCUCCAAAUCUUCCCAUGUCGCAUCAUCAGGCGAAGAAUCACUCAUGCAAUCAACCCUUGCGCCAUAGUGCGGCACCAAGAUUGGCGAAAAUACUUCUAAAGAAUCUGAAGAGGAACCUGCAAUGAGAGAACGAAGAAGGUAGAACCAGUCGAACCUCAUAAACUGGCUUGAAAAAACAUUUCAACUAAGAAACGUGGAAGAAUCGAUGUAUCUUGCUGCCUUUAGGAAGGUCCAGACAAUAAACAUCUUUGCAAAUGCAAGCAAGCACUUUAUAGGGACCAUAAAAGUUGAACGAAAGCUUAUGAUCCGCGUGGUGUACCAUCGAUGACUGUACUACGACUGCAACUUCAGAAACACCAACUCUCUAGGAACAAAUGUUCGAUCUGUUCUAUGCUUGCCUGCAUAUUGCUUCAUUCGCUGCUGGGUACGAAGGAGAUGUUGUCUGGCAGAGUCUUGCAGUACUUGUCUCUCUUCCAACCAAACAAAGUUGAACAUCUACUAGCUCCAAUGUAUAGAAGCUGAGAUGCAAAAAUAUCUAGGAGAGUGACCAUACAGAACUUUAAAUUGAAACUUGCCCACUGCAGAAUGCUAAUUGUUGUUAUACCAAAAUUCACACAUGAAAAGUCAAUUUUCCAUUUAGUAGAUGGGCACUAAUAAAACAUCUUAGGUAACCUUCCACCUAUUGAUUCACCUUCUCUAUUUGACCAUCAGUAGCAGGAUGAUAGGCAGAGCUCAUGUUGAGAGUGGCCCCUAUUCUUGUGACCAAACUUUGCCAAAAAGCACUAGUGAAAAUUGGAUCACCAUUAGAGAUUAUAAGAGCUGGCAUACCAUGAAGCUUGGAGAUAUUAUCCAGAAAAAUUCCAGCCACUUCUCGAGCAGAGUAGGGAUGCUUGAGUGAUAAGAAAUGUCCAUAUUAAAUAAACUUGCCAGUGACCACUAGAAUACAAUCAAACUGGCAAGAUGGGGGCAGUCCUGUUAUACAAUCCAUGGUAAUAGCGUCCCAAGCCUUUUUUGGAAUGGGCAAAGGUGAUAGCAACCGAGGGUAAUUAACUCUCUCAACCUUAGCUUGGUAACAUAUCAAACAAGACUGCACAUGCUCUUUAAUAAAGAAUUUCAUACAUUACCAUUUGAACAGAGACUGGAUUCUUUUAUAAGUAACAGGAAAUCCAGAUUGUCCUUCCAAAGGACUAUCAUGAAAAGUGAAGAAAAAUUUCAUAUGCAAAUUUGAAUGCUUGCCAAUCCAGAUAAUUUUUUUGUACCUAAUCACUCCAUUAAGUAGUUGAUAGUUAGGUUUCCCAUCUGGCAGUACUGACAGUUGUUUGCUUUACUAACACUUGCAUAAUAACGUUGCCACCUUUACAACUAUACUAAGUUUUUAGGUCAAGAAGCAGAGGGCUAUCUAGGUGUACCGAUCGUAAGUGAACCAAAACCUUCUCCUUAUUUCGGUUUAAACAAUUGAGUUCCUUAUGAUUCGGAUUUCUCUCUAUAUUGCUCGAGGAUGAUCAAGUUUAAGCUUGGGGGAGUUGGUGAGUGUUAUUUUUACACUCCUCCAACCUGAGUUUAAACCGAUAUAUUUCAUUAAAACAGAGAUACUCCUUCCGAUAUUGCCACUAAUAACUAAUAAAUGCAUAAGAUUCCAAAAAUCCUUCUUUAUGUUGUUUCCACAAUAAAUGGGCUAUAUAUGGACGAAAUCAAGUCAAUACUUGGAAAGGGGUAAAGUGGAGAUGGAGCGGAUCAGGUGGGAGGCGCACCAGAAAAAACAGAGUAAAAGAUGAUGUUCAAUGCGCCCGCGCCCGCUCGUAUGAGCGGACGUACGGCGUGGAAACUGAUGUUCCUCGUCCACCUGAACAAACUUUCUAAGGGGACGAGGAUAAAUGGAUAUCAGAACAAGUCGUGGGAGGCGCAGAACAACCAGUCAUCAUCAUCCUCAUCUCCAUCAACCCUAGCCACCGUCAUUUCCAUCUCCAUAGCCACCACCUUCAUCUCCACCGUAGUUCUCUACCAUCUAGUCAUAUCUAUAAUUGUGUCUCACACACGACAUGUAUUAUAAGACAUAUUAUCAAACAAUCUAUUUUCAUGAUAUGUUCUUGCUACCUCUUGAGCACUAAGUUGGUUUUCCCUUGAAGAGGAAAGGGUGAUGCAGUAAAGUAGCGUAAGUAUUUCCCUCAGUUUUUGAGAACCAAGGUAUCAAUCCAGUAGGAGACCACGCUCAAGUCCCACGCACCUACACAAACAAAUAAGGACCUUACAACCAACGUGAUAAAGGGGUUGUCAAUCCCUUCACGGCCACUUGCAAAAGUGAGAUCUGAUAGAGAUGAUAAGAUAAUAUUUUUGGUAUCUUUAUGGUAGAGACUAAAAGUAAAGAAAGCAAAAUAAACAGUAAUAGAAAUAACUUGUUGACGGGAGAUUAAUAUGAUGGAAAAUAGACCCGGGGGCCAUAGGUUUCACCAGUGGCUUCUCUCAAGAUAUCAUAAGUAUUACGGUGGGUAAACAAAUUACUGUCGAGCAAUUGAUAGAAUUGAGCAUAGUUAUGAGAAUAUCUAGGUAUGAUCAUGUACAUAGGCAUCACGUCCGUGACAAAUAGACCGACUCCUGCCUCCAUCUACUACUAUUACUCCACACAUCGACCGCUAUCCAGCAUGCAUCUAGAGUAUUAAGUUCAUAAGAACGGAGUAAUGCUUUAAGCAAGAUGACAUGAUCUAGAGGGAUAAACUAAUGCAAUAUGAUAUAAACCCCAUCUUUUUAUCCUCGAUGGCGACAAUACAAUACAUGUCGUUUCCCCUACUUUCACUGGGAUCGAGCACCGCAAGAUUGAACCCAAAGCUAAGCACUUCUCCCAUUGCAAGAAAGAUCAAUCUAGUAGGCCAAACCAAACUGAUAAUUCGAAGAGACUUGCAAAGAUAACCAAUCAUACAUAAAAGAAUUCAGAGGAGAUUCAAAUAUUGUUCAUAGAUAAUCUUGAUCAUAAACCCACAAUUCAUCGGAUCUCGACAAACACACCGCAAAAGAAGAUUACAUCAAAUAGAUCUCCAAGAGAAUCGAGGAGAACUUCGUAUUGAGAUCCAAAGAGAGAUAAGAAGCCAUCUAGCUAAUAACUAUGGACCCGAAGGUCUGAGGUAAACUACUCACACAUCAUCGGAGAGGCUACGGUGUUGAUGUAGAAGCCCUCCGUGAUCGAUGCCCCCUCCGGCGGAGCGCCGGAAAAGGCCCCAAGAUGGGAUCUCACAGGGUACAGAAGGUUGCGGCGGUGGAAAUAGGGUUUUUGCUCCGUAUCUGAUGUUUUCGGGGUACGUAGGUAUAUAUAGGAGGAAGAAGUAGGUCGGUGGAGCUACAAGGGGCCCACAAGGGUGGAGGGCGCGCCCAGGGGGGUAGGCGUGCCCUCCUGCCUCGUGGCCUCCUCAUUGAUUGCUUGACGUCCACUCCAAGUCCUCUGGAUCACGUUUGUUCCGAAAAUCACGUUCCCGAAGGUUUCAUUCCGUUUGGACUCCGUUUGGUAUUCCUUUCCUUCGAAACACUGAAAUAGGUAAAAAAAAA
rnacentral:lncRNA from 1 species